rnacentral:lncRNA from 1 species
UCUCUCUCUCUCUCUCUCCACUUACUGUGUGUAGUUUCUGCUGAUGCUCAGAGUUUUACAUGGAUGACAAAUGGAAAGCAUCGAAGAAGGAAGGUUCAAGCAGCCGUUCCUCUGCUUCCUCCAGUGCUUCUCUCAUGAGGAGUUGCUCACAAAAGACCACUUGUUCCAAGUCCCCUCUCAUGAGGAGUUUUUCACAAAAGAGCUCUUCCAUCACGAGAAAGUGUAGUAACUUAGCCAAGGAACAGAAGGCCAAGUUUUACAUCAUAAAGCGUUGUGUUAGCAUGCUUGUCUCCUCAAACAAGCAUGGAGAUUCUUGAAGGGAAGGGAAGGGGGCAAGCUAUGUAGGCAGAUCGAGUAAGGAGCAAAUUCUCUCCUCUCCUCUCCUCUCACUCUCCCUAUCCCCCUUCUUCCUUGGUGAUGCCUCCUGGGUUUGUUUGAAAAUCCAGAUAUGCUCUCUGCCAUCCAAUCAAGAAGAGAUCAGUUUCAUAGAUUUUCCUUGUCUUUUUUUUUUUUUUUCCUUUGUGUAUUGUAGAUUUAAACUGUAACUUCAAUUGAGUUGAGCUACAAAGUGUUUCACGUUGUGAGAAGAGAUUAGUAUAAUAUUAUUGAACAGUUUUCAAUCAAACCUCAAUACUAGAAAGAGUUAUUACACUCCUCUUGAUGCGUUUGUUUGAAGGAUGUUGCAUACUAUCAUCCCCAUCUGUUUUCCUAGUCCUAUUCUCUUAUUUUUGUCUGGAUGAGAGACAGAGAGGGAGAGAUUCCCUUAAGCUGUUGGAACUACCAAUAUAAUAGGACAUGAUUAGUAAUUGGAUCUGCAUCGUAAAUGCAUCCCCAUCUGCCCUCUUUUGGAAAAAAGAGGUGAAUCGGGAUCCGUUAAAAAGUGAUAUCAUAGUAUUUAAGGACUGCAGCUAAACCUUAGCUUCAUUAUAAAAUAGGGAAUGGCCCAUCUCCAAUUAUUCUCCCUCCAUUCAUUCCCAACAAGAAGGUAUUGCAACCCACCACAUGAUAGAAUCCCCUUCAUAAUUAACUGUAUCAAGAACCAUCCAGAAUAUCAUGAUUUGGGCCUUCUGAUUUCAAUCAAUCCUUUCAAUGGUGGCAUGUCAAUUUCUAAGAAUCUCCAUCAACACAGGGUAGAUGAUGAAGAUCGGACAAUAGUUCACAAGAACUAGAAAAAAAUAUAACAGUUGUUAAGACAUGUUUAUUCUCCAUCCUCCCACCUCCUACCAGCUCAAGCCUUUCCAACACAACUUCUUAGCCGAGAUUCUUGCUGAUCUAAUACCUAGAAAGACCGGGCCGGACACUAAUGCAUGUAGAAAACCUCAUUAGCCUGGAUUACUAUCGGGAAAGCUCUAGCUAGCCUUCCCCAAUAGAGCUUUUCCAGAAGUUAUUAAUGAGAGCUCUAGUAACUCCAUACAGGGAGGUCUCACUGCUGAGAUCCAUGAACAUCCUUGCUAACCAGAGCUCAAGUUUUUACCAAGACUCACCAAUUCACUUAUGGAAAAUAAUGGACAAGGUUUCUGUAGCCAAGCAAAGCCCCAUCUUGUUUAUCAACCCUCAUCCUUUCUGACCCUUUAGCCUAAACAGUAUAAAGGAUAACCUGAAAAAGGAUUGUUGCGGGUCACUGGUCUGCACAACUUUCCCUUUUCUGAUAUUGGGACAGACCGUAUAGAUAUAAGACCCUAAGGAUGGCACAGACAGAGCUAAAAGAAAAAGAUCAUGAAUUUGAAAAUAUUUUCUCGGUAGAAUUUGGAUCCUCCACCUUCACAUUGAUUGAUUAAUAAGUCUUCUCCACCAAAAUCACCAUCAUUAUCAUAUAGUAAGUGCGUGACCAGACACAUCGUGAUCAUUAAGUUCUUGGCCAUCAUAACGGAAAUCUCAAGGAGAACCUGGUGUGUGAGCUCAAAUCUUUGACCAAGAAAUGGCCACAUUAUUCCUUUUUUUAUAAGCCCCAUCUGGACAGCUCUGUUAGUAAGCCGUUAUCGCUACAAAUAUAGAUAAUAAAUUAACCCCAAAGCUAAACUAUUCUAACCCAACUCAACAUACCUACAUAUGCAUGUAAAAUUGAACCAGAAGCUAAGAAAACUGAAAUCUUACUUUCACAUCCCACAUCCCCCAUAGGCCAUUUUAACAUCCAUCCAUGAAAUUUUAAAAAAGAAAAUAAAGAAAUUGAAUAAAAUGUAAAUAAAUCACCCUCUUGCAGAGCAGACAAAUCAAGAAGAGGGAAACAAAUGAAGUAGGUGAUGGCAUACCUUAGUAAUAAGCCUCUCAAGACUGAGUUUCAUGACCCUACUACAGCUUUUCUUUUAUAUAUAUACAAAUGGCCCACUGCUUGUUUUUAUAUGGAUGGGUUAGCUGGAACCAGAGGUCUGUGACUAGAACAGGGGCAAUGCCGGACGAAAUGAUUCAGCAAGUUAGCUCCGAAACAUAAACCAGAGAGUCCCACCAUCAGACAACUAUUUCCGUAGCCUAACAUGUUACAGCUUCUUCCUCUCUGGCCUGAUUUCCAUGGUCCAAGUAUAGGCCCUGAUCUUCCGCAUACCGGUUGCUUGAAAUUCAUCUGAACUAAUGUAUGCAGUCGUGGCAGUAUUGCAUACACAAUUCAAGUUAUCAUGCUUUUAAAGUAGCACUCAACCCAGGUACGAUUGAUGACAAAAACUCACCAUUCCAUCAGAAAAGGAAAGAACUGAUGAAGAGAAUAAAUAUUUAUAUAUAUAUACUGCAGCAGAAAGAGAAUAAUGACAUGCAGAUACAGUACAUUUUUAUAUCAGAAUAAUUGCAAAAACCAAUAUUCUAUAAAACAGCCUUCUCUUUUGUAGAGAAGACUGGAAUGAAACAGCCUUAGCUGCAUAUCAUCCAAGUACUCCUUUUGCAUGUUCUGCAUUGUCCCUGUAAAUUUCCCAUCCUGAAUGUGACAGCUCAGAGACCACCACCCUUUAUUUCAUGGUCCCCUUGCACUCUUCUUCACUACUUCAUUCUGAUGCAAGCUCUGUACCGUUUUGGGAAAAUGAUGAUCUCUCCAAAUGGACUACCUAAUGCAAAAAAUCAAAAGCCUUAAUGCAAUGUAUUCCAUCAUUGAAUUGAGAAUCCAUUUGGGGCAUGCCCAGUUAAAAUUGCUGAGACCCAACACCUGAAAGUGAACCAGAAGCAUCAAUUUUAAGCGUUCAGUGUAAAAGCUGAUCAAGAAUAAGUUGAAAUCAGACAAAGUCUAACCCCCGGAUAGCAUCACACUGGGUUUUGAUGAAGUACUUGUGAUCAGUUUAAGCUGUGUCAUUCAAGAUCAAUUCCGAGGUUGCAGUGCAAGGGAGUUAUAAUGGGGAAGGGUACUUGAGGGGUUUCGUGGCGGCGACGUGUUCAUUCCCAAAUCCAAACCAUGAUACUUCAUUAUUUUUUCAUAUAUAUAUGGGUGGGGCUAUGCCUCAGCAAAACAAGGCAAUAUUCAAAUCUAUUCCCAACCCUACUUCCGUUUUUAGAAAAAAUUAUAAAUUCAUCCUUAACCCAUUUAUUUUCGUCUCAAGUUCUUGAAUUUUGUAUGAUUGAAAUCAAGCUAAACACUUCGUAAAAUAAUAAUACUGCACACGUUUUGCAGAGAUCAAAGAAGAAUCUAUUAAGUGUGAUAGAAUCAAAUACAUCUCUCCUAAAGUUAUCUACACUCAUAAGCUCCAAAACAAUGAUAAAAUCGAUGUUCAAUAAAUUUGAUGAAGUAAUAAUCUAUAUAACCUAUUCCACUAAGUAUUACUAAUUGUUAUAUCGAAGAAGCUAAGAUAAAUCAUCAAAAUGCGUGGGAACAAAAAUUUGUUAUACAACAAAGAUUUAGAAAACAUUAUACCAUAAUGAAGGCAUUAUUAAAAGACUUUAUUAGUGCGUUGUACUUUUUUUUCCUUCUAUAAUAUUUCAUCCCAUUAAAUUUUAGCGGGAAGGUUGUUAAUGAGAAGUCCUCAAAUCACAACAGUGAUCCAAGGAAUUAUUGUUAAGUAUCUUUUAAGCGUGGAAGUGGAAGUCUAUAUAUGAGAAGACAUUUGGGGUUAGUUAAAAAGACAGAAAAAAAAGGAUCAUCUUUCUACUUCUUUUCUCAUAUCACUCUUAACCAGCCAUUUUUAUUGUUCUCUUUUUCAUUUCACAACAAACAAGGAUCGUUUACAAGCGUUAUUGAUAUUCAAACCAGCUGCAAUGAAACAAAUAGUGGGGAAAACUAAAUUCAUGAGUUCACUAAUCCCAAAUCAUAACAACAGCUAUGACUCCCACCCCAGCAAGCACAGCAAGAAACUUGAAAAAGGGAGUGUCAAAAUAAAGCUGAGUUUGUGGUUUGAAGCCCUUGGCAACGAGAUGGUUGAUGGCAACAUAGAUGAAAACCCCACAAGCAAGACCCAUUGAUAUAGCAUAUAUCCAAUCAGCUGCCUUCCCUUGGGUUGUGGCAUCUAUGGCAAUGCCUAUUCCCACUCCGAUGGGGCUCGAAACCGCAAAGGCAAAAGAAUAGGCCGCAGUUGUCACAAAUGGCCUCUUGGGUUUCAUCCUCAGCAGUGCAAUUCCCAUUGCAAUGGCUGCAAAUAUCUUGUGCAAUGAUAUUGUCCACAGGUUCCUCCAUGCUUCUGCCUUUGUACCUGAAGAACACAAACUUGUUAAGAUGGAAUCGGCUGAAGCUGCUAAACAAACAAUCAAAUCACAACCAAACGCAUGAUAGAUUUUCAGGUUACCAAAAGAAAACCCACAAACACACACACCCCUAUAUGAAUAUCAAAUCAAGAUAAGCCCACAAACAAGCUAGUACUGGGUUAAUCAAAACUACCCAACCUUCAAAAUAUGGCUACCAGUGCUAGGGGGAAGCUCAAACUUGAUCUAUAUGCAAGUGUCAAAUCUUUUGCACCCCAUAACAUAGCUAAGUAAAUGUCAAAGUCUGUUAAAUGACCAAAUUUUUGUGCAUAAAUGAGAGCUUCCAAGGUAACACAUGAUGGUAGCAAGUUGUGUUUUUAAAGAGUUUACCUGAAACCCCGAUGGCAAUGCCCUCAAAAACUGAAUGAAAACACAGAGCAAGGAUGAGAAGCAUGGUGUCCCCAAAAGAUGUUGUCUGCAAGAAUGCUGGGUUGAGACCCACAGGCACCUCUGUCGCACCCUCCUCAGCAGCUUCCACUUUUGCCUCUCUUUCGCUACCCUUGGUAACAAAGAUCACUAUGCAAUCUCCUAACAUGGUGAGAAGAUAACCCGCUGAUGCUAGCAUGAAGGCAAAAGGGUAUGCUUUUGCUGUGAGCUCUUCAAAAGUCUCAUUGGAGUCGCUCAAGAAAUGCAUUAGAGAGGUCCCCAGGAAGACCCCGCCUGCAAACUGCGUGCCCAGCAGAAGAAAGCUCUCAUUCCAUCUAUAGAAGUAAGGGGAAACUCCACCUGCAAAAGUGCUCACGAAGAGGAUUAUUAGACACCAGAUUUUCACCAAAAUUAAACCUCUUUCAUGCAAGUCUUCAUCACCGCUGUUGCCAUGGUCAUCACCUCCAUGAGCGUAGAUAGUGGAGAAUUUUAGAAGCAAAAGUGCUGUGAUUAGCAAGGUUGACUUGAGAGCUUUGGAGGAAGGAACAGAGGCCAUGAAUGGGGUCAUCAAACUCUUCUUUUGGUUUGAAUCAGUUAAUGUUACUAGGACAAAUAGGAGAAGAAAGGGCUAUGAUAAAAUAAAAAGCUAGAUAUCUCUCCCAUUUCUGGUACUUCGCAGUACAGCAUUGACUUUCCAAGAUUGUACUACACAAAAUGGAAUAUCGCUACUAUAAGAAAAUAAUCAUACAAUUAAUACUAAUCAUCCAUCAUUGGGCCAGUGAGGGCGGAAUUUCCAGAGCAACAGCCCAGCCCAAAACUCAUUCAACCCUAGAAAUUUGGACCAGAAGACCCUGAGCUGUAUUACAUCAUAUAGGAGAUAUGACAAAUAACAGCAUAGCAUAAAUUGCAUACUAUGACAAGGGUGAUCAAAGCGAUGACGAAACUAAUGAUGAUGAUGCUGGGUUUUAAUCUGUUAACUUCCAACUUUUUUCUAAAGUAGCAGUGUGUUUUAUUUAAAGCCUGUAGUAUGCCUAAAGGCCAUUUUUGCCCUGAAGUUGUAGUAGAAUUCUCUAAAAUAUAUUUGAGCCUCGUACCAGAAUUGUGCCAGCACCCUCAAAUUUUCUUCUUCUUUUUUUUUUUUUUUUUUUUUUUUUAAGGAAAAAAAAAAAAGUGACAACAGAUAACCUAAGAAUGACAAACACAAAUAAUAAAGGAUGAAAAUGACUGAGGGGCUUGAAAACAAAGGACAAGGGUUAAAAAUGGUAAUCUAACAAAGUUGGUGUGUGCCCAUGAUUUCAUCACAAGAAGCCCAAGCAAAAAUAAACAACUUUUCUAAAGUUUAUACACAUAUAUGCUGCAGCAUUUAUUAUUUUCCAGUAUGAUAGAUGAUUGCAUACACAGAUUGUACUACUUUGAAAGCUAUUAAACCAUUUCUGCAUCAUCUAUUUCACUCUCCCUGCUCUCCUGCCAUCCUGCCCCGACCCUAAAUUUACAGACAGGGCAUGUGCCUUGUUGUCGCAGCCAUGGAUCAAUACAGUUGGCAUGGAACUGAAAAUCAUAAUAGCAGUUACAAAUGUCAAAAUAUAAAACAAAUUGAAUGGCAUACAUAUCAAGAUAAACUUCAUUUCCAACCUAAAGUUAGAUGCAAAGUAAGUGCAAUGAUAAGAUUCAGCAAGAAUUUUGGAGAACAUUCCUAGGAAAAGAGAGGAAGAACAAGCUUCAGGAGAGGCAACACAUGUUCAAAAGUAUGCUGCAGAUGGAUAGAUAGAAAAAGGGGCAUAUAUCAUCCUCAAAUGAUGGAGAAUAAUUCAUUAAUUUUGCAGAGAAUAGAGGAGUAAUUGGCGAAAUUUGACACUCUAGGGUAAAAUUUCAAGAAAGAUUAUUUAAAAAAAAAAAAAAAAAAAAUUGUUUGUAGCAUUUGUGGUAAUUAGCAAAUAGUGCAACAUGUUAUCAAAUUAAGUAAACAAAAAUAUUAAGCAUGAUCAAAGGCUUGAAUAAAAAAAUCCAAUAAUGCAAAUGGGACAUUAAUGUGACAUUCUGAACCAGAUUCAUCAACUUAUAUUAUCACAAAGAAACAGAAUAAAUAAAUAAAUAAUUAGUGGCAUCACAGUAAGAAGAUGAUGAACCUGGUGCAAGCAUGGCAAGCUACGUACAAGCUCUCCCCUGUUGACUUGCUCCAAGCAAAUGCUGCAUGUCAGUUCAUCUUCUGAACCCUUCAUGCUGCUGUCCCCCUUUCUAGAGUCUUGCCUAGCCUUCUCGUCAAACUGGAAGUGAGAAAUUAAAAACAGUACACAAGAGAGUAUCCAUAAUGAUUAAGAAACAGAUGCCCACUUCCUCUCCCAACCUCAAUGCCCACAUCUAUAUCCGCAAACAGACAUGUACAAUCAAAGAUGCUUUGUGAAACAAAAUUAACAAAGGAAGUUUCUCCUAUACUCAGUUCGACAUUUACCCAGAGGGAAUAAACUAGAGAUUAAAUGCAGGCAUGAAUGCUAUAACAGAAGUCCUAUACUCAGUAAGGUAUGGAGUGAGUGGAUGAAAACACUGUUUAUACUUUAUAUAACCUGUCUAGAGGUUCUCUAUUAGAUAAACUGUCCUAACAGCCAAAUGAGCCCUCCACUGAUUAAUAACCAUGAAAUAUAAACCUAUUUUAUGUUAUACCAUCUCCCUCAAGAAAGAAGGGUGGGUUGCAAGGUAGGAGGUUCAAUGAAGAAUUCUGGAAAGGCCAGUUUCUGACAUAUGAAACCUGACACGGAGACUUAAAGGGAUUCCAUGAUCAUAACUUCAUCCAGUCACCAUGUUUAUAAUAAGAACUUUUUAAUGAGGUAUGCAGAACAUGAUUCUUAUAAUAUUGCAACUUUUCUUUUCCUCUGGAUUCUUACUUCUUAGCAACUGAUAGAGUUUUAGGGAUAAUGUAUUACCACCAGAACACCAGUAACUUGUCAUUGCCUUAUUAUCACUCUCCAUGUUCUUAUUGGUCAUGCAAUCAUACCUAAGAGAACAAAAGAAGAAUACCUCAGCUGAGGCUGAAGAAGAUGCAGCCUGUUGCAUUGAUGACCCCUCACUGUUAACAAAUUCAAAAUCAUAUCAAAUCAAUAGAAUUCCCAUUAAAAAAAAAAAGUGAUUUCUCAUCAAACCCCACAAUACUCCUAGAGAACUUCAAAAAAAUUGAAAAUAAUAAUUCUUGAUACAUCACAUAAAUUUGCAAGAAAAUAGACUACCAAUACAAAUCCUCUCAAGUUACCUUUGUGGACCAGUGACCUUAUACUUGUGAACAGGUAAAGCAUUGAUCUCUUCCUCACUCAGUGAAGUUGAGGAAGUAUUAUCAGAAUCUAGUGAUCUCAAGGUUUCAUAAUCUGUGGCAGAAUGAAUAAUUCAUGAUAAGUGCAAUUUCAAAAUAAACCUCAGCUAGAACCUUCUGAUAAUUUCUAAAGAAAUGCACGAAUUCAACUUCAAGUUUGAAGCAUGGCAUAUGUUGCACAAUAAUUGACUUGACCAUACCCAGGUCAUCAAAUUCGCGAUCAAGAAGUGCAAGCUGGAGUCGCAAUCCUUGUAAUCGCCCUCUAGUUGCAAAAGCUAUUGAUGGUGGCAUACGCAAACGCAAUUCAGUAUGACCAAGUAGGCCACUGGCAGCUGCAGCAUGAGCUUGGGCAUGAGCUUGUAGUUGUUGACAAGUUGCAUACAUCCUCAAGCUCGUGGCCAUAAAAAAGAACCCCACAACUAGCCAGAGCUACACAUAUAGAUUUACAUGAAUACCUCUUCAAUUGCUAUUUAACAAAUUAUGCUUCAGAAUUUUCAGAAAGACUAACAUGCCCACAUUAGAUGCCAGUGAGAAAAUACCAGAAAGUUUGGUGACAUCUGAUGAGAGUUCAAAAUCAUAAACAGCAAAAGCACUGCCGAGCAAACAGAUAAGGAAUGGAUUAGAAAUGAGCACAACUAGAAUAGUAAACAAUGGAGAUAGAGCAAAUAGAUUGGAAACAUUACCUGUGACAAGAAAAGCCAGUGAAUUAGUGUUAACUGGCCGAGCUGGAUGAAGACGCUGAUAGAAAUAGGGAGAAGAAUUGGCAUCACAAUGGAUUAUGUCUACCAUUGCAUAAUCUCAAAUAUAUAAUCACUGACAUUGGAAAACACAGUACAAUAAGACAUAUAUAUGCAUGUGAGAGGAAACGCACCACUGCAGGUCUCUGAGGAAUAAAUCCUGGAAGUCCACUUUCUAUAUCUGCUCGAGACCCACGAAAAACAAAACUCAUGGUCGCAGGAGUGACCGCAAACCUCCUUACCUAAAAGAAUCAAAUGAUAGGGGAACACAAAGUAUAUUAGUUAUAAAUAUGCUAUCCACACCUUCGAGAAUCUGUAAAAGCUUUGAAGCUUAUAAAUUACUCAGCUAAAUUCAAGCAUAACCAACCCCAUAUAACGGCAAUUAAGGUUUUGCUUAUCCUCACACAGGAAGUACGACCCAAAAUAAUAAUAAUAAUAAUAAUAAUAAUAAACGAUAUUAAAAUGAUCAGAUCACAAAGCAAGAAGCCGCAAUCCCUUAUCUUCAAAAUGUUCAUGCCAACCAUAUGUGCUAAAUGAAACCUUGAUCUCCCACUCUCCAAUCAAUAUAGUUAAAUUAAAAUGAACUAAACUCAUCAUCUAGAAGCAGUAGUCAACUUUAAUUCUUAUUAAAGAAUUCUAGAUCUGUUUACACUUUCAAAGCAUCAUUUUCCACCACAUUGCAAAACCAUUGCAUAAAAAAUCCCAGACCUACAGCAUUACUUCGAAACAAGGUCAAAACCGCUCCUUUAGAGCUACAAUUUUAAUUAACAGCUACAAUUGCAACAUUCAACAAACACACAAUUUCCCCAUAUUUUGCCAGGAGAGGAAGAAUCCAGUAAAACCCUAAUCAGUAUCCCUCCUAAAAAUUUCUCCAGAACCAGCGAUUAAUACACCCAAAAUCACGACCACACCUCAACACCACUGAUGGACAACGACAACUACUUCUACUAGCGCUAGUACAUCUCCAAACACCGAUUCCAACAACACAAGAUCCACAUUGUCCCGAUUCUUCUUACAAAAACAUUCACAUCGGAAAUCCACACAACAACAUCGAAACAAACCUCCGUUUGGCCGCCGAGAAACAGAAGGAAAAGCAGAAAAAACCUGGAACCAUGGGAGAGUGAAUUCCAGUUUUCAAGAUUCCGAAUUUUGCAUCUCUUUUCCCUGAGAUUUCUCGACAACCAAAGAGAAUCUAAAGAAAAAAAAAAAAAAAAAAGCGUUGCACGAAACCUGAAAUCACUGGAAUUCGCAGAAUGGGGGACAGAUUCAUUUGCGGGUGAAUUCCCUGUGUUUCCUGCAGUUGCAGUGUAUUGUUUAUGGUAGAUUUACUUGGAGGCCUUUCUGGGAAAUGCCACGACACGUGGACUUGCAUGUCACCGGACCGCUGCCACGACAUCGAACAGCAUGUCAUGAGUGAACCGCACAGCACUUUGGGAUUUGGACCAUCUGCAGUCGCUUCUCUGAUCGAUAGUCGCAAAAAGGAAAGUGGGAUUUCAAUUUCAGCAUGUGGGGUGGGCCUUCCACCUAAAUCAUUAUUAAUCAUUUUAAAUUUUAUAUUUAUGAAUUAUGUUCGUAUUUAUAAUUAUUUACCAUAUGAAAUUGGUAUCAUUAUUUUUUUUUGGUUUAAAGGCAUUGUGAUUUGUCAAUUGUCAAUGUCAAAUUUCUGAUUUCAGAUAAAAGGUCGGUAGAAGGGGACGAAACCGCCUCCCACCUCCAUAAUCACAGACGCAUUAGCCUCCAACUCCAAGCAUAGGCUUCCAACACGUUACUAACAGUGAGGUGGACCUUGGCCACAGAGUGCCUGAGAUAUUAUUUGGUAUGGGAAUCCCAAGGAUUCGAGUCAUAUGGCUUCCAUUCGGACAUGUUUGCUGGGAACUCAACUAUUGGGUAAUGAUUAUUCGAUUUUUGGGACCGACCAAACAAGUUCCAGGGCAUCUCUCUCAACUCGGCAUGGUGUGGCAUUGAAGGGAAAAAAGAAAUUGAUUAUGGUCAGAAAAUCAAUAUUUGAAAUGGGUGGACUCAAAGUACUGAAAUUGCUUACUAAGGAAUCAGCGUAUAAAAUGAAAUACACCCAUUGGGUAUGGGAUUCGCAUGCUUCACAAUUUCGUACACGGCCAUGCGAGCUGCUCAAUGUCCUCUUCAAGCAAGACACCCAAUCGGGAAUAAAAGCCUUUUGGGCGAUCUAGCAUGGACCUUGUUCGCCAUUGUUGGGUCAAAUCGCUGUUUCGAGUGAUUUGUAAGCAUCAAACACUUGAACACGGGGGUAUGAACUUGAGAACUUGAUCAACUAGAAAGUUGUUCGAAGAUGGAAAUGGUGCCUCAAGUAGAGCGUCAGGUUGCUGCUGGGGAGCUGCUUUUGAAGGUAAUGGUCAAUUCCUGGACGGGUAAAAAGGGUACUUCAGGGUUUAGGGUUUUAGGUACCACACAGAUGUUUGUAUAGGACUUCUUGACGCUUGCUUUCUGUUCACUUCUUUUUGGCUAUUUGCGAACCGCCUAAUUGGAGAAAUUGCCCUGGAAAGAGGCCUCUCUACAUCCCACCCACAAGGCACAUGACUAAAGGCUAAAGCUGAGUGAUUUCUUCGCAAACACCAAACACAGAAGCCAUCAGAUGGGAAAACAAAAGCUUCUCCUUAGUCCCAAAAGGAGAAGCAAAAAACCAGAACCAACAAAGCUGCAACUCCAAUCACAUCAUUUACGAAUCUUUGUCAUGUUUUGAUUUAGAGGAGAAUAAAAUAGGCCAACAUUCCACCAUAUCCCACUUUCACCCAUAUUAUACCAACCCCAAACCCCAUAAUCUGAACCAUCGCCAGAAAUUCAGGAGGUUUUGAAGUGCACAUUUAAGUCGUGGCAGAAGCCAGUUGCUUUAGUAAAAGGGCCAGACAUGGAUGACAAAUAAGGAUGAGAGAGAGAUGUGAGAGAAGAUGAAAACUUGAUGAAAUGAAUACAAGGAAAAGAAUUUCUGACGAUAACUGGAGAUUGGAAUAGAAGCUAAAAACAAAUUACAAAAUUUUUUGUUUUGGUAGGAACACAAAUUACAAAAUUAAGCAAGUAACGAAUGCUUUCUUAAAGCUUUUAUGCCAUUAGAUCCGCUACCAAGGCAAACCCAUUUUCCUCACUUCCCAAAGCUUUGCUGCAAACCUUUCCUUCUUCUCCUGCCAAUUCUUAAUCCUUGAAAACCAAUAACGCCCAACCAUUUAUGUAGCAAAUGUAAGACCCCUUGAAAAGGAAAAAGAAAAAGCUAUUUACAGUGAUCCCAUCCAGAUUGCGAAACAAAAAAAAAACUGAAAUUUCUUAUAUUUUCAUUCCCAAAUUCACCAUCUUGAAUUUCCACUUUGAUCUUCCAGUACCCAAGCUCUGCUCCUCCUCCGAACGUAUCUACUGAAAACCGAACUUGAGUGACUGUGACUUCUGGUAAUGGACCCAGGUUCUGAAGUUGAACGAGAAGAUGAUGAGGAAGAAGACCUAAACCUCCCUAAAAAUGAGAAAAUGUUGCGAAAAGCUCUGCCCAGUGAUCCGCCGCUCUCUCUGGAUCGGCUUCGUCUGGAUGCCCAUGAAAUCCUCCUUGGAGCACCACUAUUAUUGAACCCACCAUCCAUUUCUGUGUACACCACAGGAAGCUCACGCUCGCCGGCUCUUCUUCCUCCGGAAAACCUCCCCACGGCAAACCCACCGCCAGGAAGCCUCCAUAUGGUCAGCCCCACUGUCUCUUCUUCGUUUGGUGCCGGAGAAAGUGCUUCAUUUCCAGAUACCGGCGAGUUCCUUGUUCCGGGAACGUCCGUCGGCAACUCGUGGCGGCAAACAGGGCAUGAAUUGCGGAGAGAUAGCCAUGGGAGAAUACAAUCGGAAUGAUAGAUAUGCUUACAGGGCAUUUCGCGAGCCUCCGAACCCAGCUGGAACGCCUCUUUGCAUACCGCACAGUGCAACUCUGUGACGAUGUGGCUAGACACGAUCUCGAUCGUCGGCAUCGACUCCACGGCCGCCUUUGACGCCGGAGGGUGCUCGCCGCGCCCAAAACCAUUGAUUUCAAUCUGCGAAAGCUGUUCCAGCAACCGAUCAAACCCCGACCCCAUCAAGAACUCCGACAUGGUCGCCGGCAACGGCCGAAGCCCGGACCCUGCCCCGUCAUCGUAGUACAAUUCAAAACUACUCCUCUCCACAACACCACCUUCACCACCACCUCCAUCAGCCGGACCGCGGAGCACAAUAACUGGAUUAAACGGAGACCGAUCACCGGCGUUCCUCCUGCUCCGCCGCAACCCUAGAUUCGCACUUUGCUCCGAAUCCGGCCGGUUGUUCCCCAGCAUGUACAUCGCAGUCGCCGGAAACCGACGGUGGUGAUUCUCCGAUCUCGGCGUGGCCUCAAUCUCCUCCAAGAAGCCACUCUCGCAGUACGGACACACGAUGCUAUCUUGAGCCCAAACUCUAACGAAACGAGUGCAUCUGUGACACCAAUAAGACGUCGUCGAAGCCAUCUCCAUACCAGAAACCCCACCAAAAGAGAUCGAUCCUUUUUCAGAUCCUCGGUUACCUGAACAAUUCACAACCCGAGUUGACUCUUCCAAAGAUCCCAAGAAUUGACUCAACAGAUCUGAGCCAAGAAGCCCCAACUCGCCGGAAACGACCCAGAUCCGACGGCUCAGAAAGAGCGAAACUUUGAGGGAAGAGAGGAGAGAGAGUACGAAGAAUACAAAGAAGAAGAAGACGAAGCUGAGGCUUUUAAGACUCGUCGUGGAGGGUUAACGGCGUAGUCUUGACGCGUGAGGCUGAGAAAGCGAUUAGACGGACGUUCCCUACGUGGCGGCCAUCGAUUGGAUGGACAUUGACGGCGUGAGUGGAGCGUGGAAGUGGACUGGUCAGCGGUGCGAGCACAUGGUAAUAUUUGAGAUAAAUUAUAUGAGGAAAAAGAAUCGGGGCGACUCCCGCGUCCAACUUGAAUCGUGGCUGGCGACGGGGGCAGACGUUGACUUGAAGGCGAAAUGUGGUGUUCAAAAUGCCGACUUUGAAAUUCAAAUCAUCGCCGUUUCGUGGUGAAAAAGAUUCCCAACCGAGGCUGAAGCCGGCUGACACUCGCCUUCUAAUUAAUAACAUCGGAAUACGACUGAAACGAAGGAAAAGAGGAGCAUCCUUCUCAUUUUGAUGUCUUGUACAAAAAAAUAAUUGCAGGCUGAUGUGUGAGAUGGGUCUCAUUCAAUAAAUGUACGGUACAAGAAAUUGAUUUUCUAUACCUAUGUGAUUUGGAGGAACUGGUUAUUAAUUUCACUUGUUUGGCAUAGUUAUUCUUAUGCUAUAAAUUUAAACCUAAAGUUUAAAUUGAUAAGGAAUAAACCGAUUAUGUUUAUUAAUUUCACUCUAAUUAUUGUGCGAGCGAAAAUUUUAAUGCAAAUAAUAUUAGUUUACUAAUACAAACAUAAAAUAAUAAUAAAAACAUACCCACGAGAUUUUAAUUUUAACAUGAUUCGUAUCUACAUCCCUGAAUGACAGAAAAUCUUUCUAUCAUACCAUAAAGAAUAUUAUAAAAAGUAAAACUAAAUAGAUUUCCAUAAAUAUCUUUUGUUUUUUAACUUUCUUUUUACAUCACCCAAAGUUUCAAUAUAUUUUAAAAAAUACAUGAAAGUGUCGUGAAUAACAACACCCUAAUCACAAUCCCUCUCAAAUAAAUGUUAUUGUAAAAAAAAACUUUAUAUUUGAUUCGAAAGCAUUUUAGUAAAUAAUAUAUAGUUGAUAGGACAUAAGUCACGAUGUCUUGUAACUAUUAACUUUUAUUUUUAAUAACAAAAGGAAUAAAAUGAUGAAUAUUCUUACCCUAUGUUUGGGAAUUAUUAUGACUUAAUUAAAGAAUAAUUAGGUUUUUGACAUCACCUAUGAAUAACAAAAGUAAGGACUUUCCUAUUCCUUGAAAAUAUAGGUAAAAGAUAUGAAAUAAAAUGUGUAGUCAACAUUUGACAAACCUCUCACAAUAUCUUAAGAGUUGUCUUCGACAUUCAAAUCUUGUUACCUAAUCUUGAUAAGUAUGGGAAAGGCAUGUUAAACAAGAUGGGGAAGAAAAUAAAGAAAUUGAAAAAUUAAAACUUUAAAUUUCUGUGGCCUAAGGCUGCAUUAUGGAACACUUUCCCUUUUCCCAUCUGGUUUAAGGUGGUAGGGUACACUUGACUUGCUUGAAAAACAAAACAGUAUCAAAUUUGCAAGAGAGCCAUCCAAAUGGAAGAUGGGCUACAAGUCAAAAACAAAAGAGAAAAUGACAAGGCAAUGGUAUUUUCUACAACAAAAAGUUUUACCAUCACGCCAAGAAAAAAGUUUGUAUAGUAUGAGUUGCACUUAAGUAUCUCCACAUGUUUUUAUAGUUACGUGUACAUAUUAGAAUGAAUAGUAUUUAUAUAAUUAAGAAUCAAUUAUUAUAAAUAAUAUUAAAAUCGAUCAUUAAUCCUGGGUCUUGUUUGACGCUGAAAAAAAUAUAUUUAUUUAUUUGAUUUCACAAUUUUAUAAGACACGAUAAAGACAUUAUUAUUAUAUAGAACGAAUAUGAUAUUUUACAUCGGAUUGAAAAAAGUGUUCCUAACACAAUAUCUAAACAAUUGAAAAUGGAUAGUUUCAAAUAUGGAGAUAACAAAGAAUGGAGCUUCCCUUAUUAGAUGCUUCCAUAUUUUUUAAAAUAAAAGUUUAUAUUGGAAUUUGUAUUAUUUUUAACAUUUUUUUAAAAUUUUAUUUAUAAUGCUUUAUUUUUAAUCAUUUGAAUUACUUUUUAAAAAACUUUGAAAACACAAAUUUCGAAAUUCCAUUUUCUAAAAAGAAAAAUUACCAAACAUGUUUCCAACUAUGGAAAAAAAAUUGAAAACAGUUGGGAAAGGCUCUGUUAUAUCUCCCUUCUCCCACCCCCCAUUUAGAAGUAGCUAAAAGUACAAAUUGUGUUUACUCUUGACCUUGGGGGACAGACCCAAAAGAAAGAGAUCAUUGGUUGCCCACUCCUCUCUGUUUCCACCACCCCUUUCAUUUCUAAUAAACAGCAUGGUCCAUAAGUUUCUGUUGAAGUGCACGCUAGAAAAGUACCCUUUAACUCCCACAUGGCCCCUUUCUUUUGGUACAUUUCUUAGGUAAAAGGGAGUUGCUUGUUUUUAUAGCCAUGUAAAGUUCAGUGUGCAUCAUUAGGUAAUAGUAUUUUUCAGUUCUUGCUUCAUCUUCAUAGUUUUUCUUUUUAAUUUCCUUUUUUUUUUUUUUUUUGGUUGCAAUGAGUAAUUUGAAAGAUUUGGGAAGGAAGAUGAAUGUUUAGUGGACUAAAGCUUUCACUCUCUGCAAUAUCCCACUUUAAUAAUGAGUGUAAGGUGGAAGUUAGAGUCAUGAGGUUUCUUUAUGAAGGCUGAGCUAGUCACCACACAAAUUCAUGGAAAAGGAAAUGAAAAAGGGAGGAAACUAGAAAGAAAGCUUUCGAUAAAGAGAUGGUAAUGGGAAUCUCAAACCUUUUCCAAUACCAUUUUGUCUCAAUUUUAAUGGCUAUGCUUUUCGUCUCUCCCUCUCUUAGUAUUUUACCCAAUCAAAGUUUCUUUCCCAAAGAAUAAUAACCUGCAAGAAAAGCUAUAUACUUGUGGUGUUCUUGUGAUAGAAAUGUCCAAAACCCAAAAAAAAAAGCAGAAAACCCACUUCAUAACAGGCCAGAAAUGAGAUAACAUUCAUGUUGUUUGCUGUCAUUUUCUUCUAUAGACCAUCACUACAACGUAUUGUAAGGGAAAAUCAACAAAAAUGGGGUCCUGCUUUGUGUUGUGCCAUUUUCUGGGUCCAAUAGAGUAUAUGGAAAGGUGAGGAAUAUACCUUUGCUCAUUCCUUGGUUAGAAAUAGCUAGCAAGGAACAAGAUCACCUUUCCCUGAAAGCACAAAAAUAUCAAAAUAUUGUAGUGGUGCUUGGAUGAAAUGCUGUGAAAAAUACCCAAUCUUUUAACCAUAGAAGGUAUUGGUGCUGUGGUCCAAUGCUACUUGCAUUAUGCAUUAUAUAGAAGGUUGCAAAGUAGAUGUAUUGUUUGAACAUUUUUGCCACUGAGUGGAGUGGUGGUUCCCCUCAUGCCAGCCUUGCACCUUGCCUCACCAAAAAGAAGUUUUCUAGUGCAGCUCAUUCGGACUCUAUCAGUUAAUCACAAACCUACUUUUAGCUAUAGAGAAUUUAUGAACCCCACUCCAAUUUUGCACUAUUUCUUAUCAAGUGUUGGUUGAUGAGCAUAGCAUAAAGUAUUGCAAAGAAUUUUAUGAUUCAUAGGAAAAUUCUAAUAGCUUUAAAACAUGUUUACAUAAUUAAAAGGGGUUCAUUACCGAUGUACCAGACAUGGGAUGUCAUAUUCUUUAUAGUGUACGACAACAUCAGAAUAGUAAUGAGGACGGGAAAUGCAUGUAAAAUCUCUUAAGUAGCCAUUGAUACAUGUUCUUGGCCUACGGAUUGGGUGGGUUCCUGAGUAGCCAUUCAUUGCUGACAAUAAUGUUGGCUUGGUUGCCCCAUGACUGAAACUUCACUUUCAGCAUUGAUCAAAGUUCUGUAUACUACACGUCUAUGAAACAUAGCCAAUCUCUCUCAACAUGCUCCGGAUUUGUCCAAGCUUCCCUUCUAGGCCAAACAUCAAGGACCUCAUGGAGAAACCCAAGAAACUUUGCUACCGAAAUUUCACUUUCAGCAUUAUCAUAAAGAUGUGAACAUACCUUAUAGGAGAUCAAACCAAUCUAAUUUGUAAAAUUAUUCCUCUACUUUUUUUUUAUCUUAAAAAUAUCCAUUUUGAACAAGAAUAUUCUUAAUUUUUUUUCUAAUAAAAAUAAUCUUUUCAUUUAAAAACACAUGUAAAUAAUUAUAAUUUUGAGGGGUAUUAAUGUCAAAAUGGGUUGUUUUUUAAGUUAAAAAAUUGAAAGAGAUUAGUUUUAUUUACAAAGCCACCAAGCUUGAUAUAAGGGAGAAUUCAAAUAUCCUAAGUUAUGUUUGGUUUCCAAAAAAUUUGAAGAAAAAUGCAAGAAAGAAAAAUACAAAGAAAAUAAAAAAUAGAUUAAAAGUUGAUAAAUUAUUUUUUUUGUUACUUCAAACUCAUUUUAUUUAUUUUAACUCAUCAAUAUAAAGAUUAAAUAAUUUAAAAAUACAUAAAAUUUUAAUUAGUUUUAAUCAUAUUCGAUUUUCUUUGAUAUUUUUCAUAGGACAACCAAAUAUGAAAAAAAUUAUUGCAUUUUUUUUUCUUUCCUUUAAAGCUAUGUUUGGUUCUAGAAAAAUUUGAAGGAAAAUGCAAAGGAAAGAAAAUAGAGAGAAAAAGUAAAAGGAAAGAAAAAGGAAGGAAAAUAAAAAAUAGAGUUAAAUAUGAAAAAUUAUUUUUAUUUGAUACUUCAAACUUAUUUUAUUUAUUUUAACUCAUCAAUAUAAAGAUUAAAUAAUUUUAAAAUAUAUAAAUUUCUAACUAAUUUUAAUCAUAUUUAAUUUUUUAAAAAAAUAUUUUAUAGGAGAACCAAACAUGAGAAAAUCGCUUUUCUUAAUAUUUUUUUUUCUAUCUUUUAUAUUUUCCGGAACCAAACAUAACAUAAAUGUCAUAAAAAAAAAUUGAGCUUAAAGUCCGCAAGAUGGAUAUUUGAAUUGGGCUUGGAUUUUAGUGGGUUCCUUCCAUUUCAUACGUGUAUGCACAACAGCAUUGAGAUACUUGCAUGUUCUUAAGUGGCAACUCACCAAUAGUGACAUGUAGCCAAAAAAUUGUAACCGAAAAUAAAGCAAAGCUGGGGUUGACUGUUGCCUUGCUCCCUUUCACAUAUGGUGCCAAAUGCUACCAUCAUCAGCUGCUCACGAGAAACUACAUUUUCUUCAACAAAAGACGCCACCAGUCAGCCAUGAAAGUCUCUACCAAGUUCCAAGCCGCACCCACCCCCACCUACAGGUUUGGUUUCAAGGACUAUGAUUUAUAAUAUGUAGUGUUUAAUCAUACCUAACUCCUAAGACUAUUAUUUAGCUUGGGUUUUGGACCAAAUAGCAUUGAGAACUAAUUAUUUAUUGCCGGUUGUGUUCAGGGAAUCCGAUAAUAGUGAAGCUAAAACUAUCAUUAAUUUAGGUUUUGGACCAGUGGCAUUGAGAAUUAUAAAUCCUAUGAUUUUAAGAAGCAUUUUCUUUUUUUCUUUUUUGUCUAAAAAGUGUUUUAAAAAAAAUUAGGUGUUUAACAAAUUUUUAAAAAUAUUUUUAAAAAUCUGAAAAAUCAUCUAUAGUGUUAAAAAAUCACUUAGAAUCCAUUUGGUAGUGAUUCUAAAAAACGUUUAUAACAUUUCUAAUACUUAAAAGAUAAAAAAUUUUAUGUGUUAGAAAUACUAAAAAUACUUUCUAAAAUCACUACUAAACACACUCUUAUAAUGUUUUUUAAAAAGCACUUGAUACUCAUAAAAAUACUUUCGAAAAAAACACCAUUAAACACACUUUAAGUUAUUUUAAAAUAGUAUAAAUAAUUUUUCAGAUCUUUAAAAAUGUUCAUAAAUUUUGUUAAACAUUUAUUUAAAAAAAAAUUUAAACUUAAAACAUUUUCUAAAAUCAUUAUCAAACGGAUUGUUAACGGGUUAUAGCCGAUUAGGUCAGAGGAAAUGUGAGAAGCAACAAAAAGAAAAAUAAAAAAGAAAAAAAAAAUAAAGAGGGAAAAAAACCACUUGCAUAAUGCGAAUAAAGAUUGUUGAUGUCCAACUAGUUUUUUAAAAUUUUGUAGAUGAUUAGUAUUUGGAUUUAUAAUAUUUAUUAUCAUUUUCAACAAAAAGUGAUUUUUAUUUAAUAAUAAUUUUAAAUUUACAAUUUUUUAUAAAAAUUUACUAUGAAAAAAGAAAACCAUGGAUUUAUUUAAAAUAAAUUUUGUUAUUUAGUUCAAUCUUAUUCACGUAAAAGUAAAUCUCACUCAUUUUUGGAUUUGCCACAAGUAAAAAACCAUGGUUUUUGCAUUAAAAAAGUUUUUAAAAGUUAUUUAGGUGUGCAGAACCAGAAAACCUAAAAAUUUCAAAAAAUGUUGUUAUUCUACCCUAGUUCCAAGAACUCUCAAAAUCAAGAUUUCGGUUAAUAAAGCUUAAAAUCACUUUUAGAGAGGAAAGAUAGAUGUCAAACAUUCUAAGUAACCAAGUGGUCAAGUCUUAACAUAUUUUUAAGGUGAUUCACUAAGGAGUGAAGAGAUCCAUGUCACACAUGAAGAAUAUAUAUAAGUAAUGUAAAAUUAUGUAUGAUUCCUUUAAAUUUGGUGGAUUUUUAUUUAUUUAUUUAUUUAUUUUAAUGGUGGAUAGACAUGUUUUGUAUUUAUGGAGGUUAGAAUAAUCUCCACAAGUGAUUUUCUAUAUAUAUAUAUAUUUUGUUUUGGAUGCAAUUGGAUUUGUUAUGGAUUAUUAGGAUUCAUAGAAUUUCUCAAUACAAAUUUUAGAAUUGAAUCCAAAUAGUUACAAAGGGGGAUAAUUGAUUUAAUUUAAUCAAUCUAAAAUAAGUUUAUAUCAUUAAUUUAAAAUAUUCUAAUUGGGCAUAAAAUAAAGUAUUAAUUCACUUUCUUAAAAUAGCUCCUUGAUUCUAGAAAACGGACUUACAAAUAGUAUCAAUGCUAGUUAAAAUUUUCAAAUAAUAUUUUUUAAUAUUUUUUUUUAUUCCUGCUAUAAUUCUUGGAUCAUGGAAUCAUUAAGAAUUAGAUCAUUCAAGCUAUAUUUGGAUCUCGAGAAUAAUUUUUUGUAUUUUAGAAUAAAAAAUGAAAAUAAAAAUUAUUUAUUAAUCAUUUCUUUGUAAAAUUGCUUUGAAAAACAAUGUUUUAUGAUAACAUAUUUUAAUGGUUUUCAAUUGUUUUGGGGGAAGUGUUUUAAAAAAUAAUUGCACAAAUAUAAAAAAAAUGAUUGAAAAUAGAACAUUACAAAUAAAAGUUACUCCAUAACAAUAUUUUAAAACACAAAAAAUAAGUUAAAAAUAUCACGAGUUUCUAAACUGACAUUUAUUCAAAACACUUAUCAAACAAACCCUUGUUAAUUAUCCAUCAUUUUUUUUAUGGCAACAACGACCCAUUAGAAAGAACAUAUGAAAUUCUUGAAAUUGGAGGCAAAUUAGUUUGGAAUGUAAUGAAAUUUUGGUGGCUAAUUACCACUAAUUACAUUUCAAUUGAUUUCUUAAAUGAAUUGAAUGUACGAAAGUUGAUCACUCAAAUAUUCAAAGCCUAUAAUAUUAUUCAAAUAAUCAAUUGAAUGAGAAUGUCAUUUACUUAUACGUAGAUUUUGUUUAAUAAUGAUUUUAAGAAGUGUUUUUAAAAUUUUUAAUAUUUAAAAGGUAAAAAUUUUAAAGUGUUAAAAAUACUAAAAACGCUUUUAAGAAUCACUAUCAAACAUGCUCUUAGAGAUUUUUCAAUCAACUUUCAAUUGAGUAUCUUAUUUGAGAGAUUGAAAAUUAAAUUGAUGAAAUUUUGAGAAAUUUUAUUAAAUCAAUGCCCUUGUUCAUCAUAAAUUCUAAAUUAUCUUAAAUCCUACAAUAAUUCUAUUCAUCCCCUCUACUACACCAUUGAUAAAGACUAUGGAAUUAGAACGUGGGCUUUCUUCUAUACAUAUCUAGAAUUCCUCCAUGGCUAAGAAUGGAUAUGAGUUGAGGCAGAGAAUAUAAGAGAUAAUGUAAACAAAUGGGUGCACGUGACUCACCAUUAAUUCACAUAAAAGGAGAAGACGUAGAGCAUAUGAGGGCAAUGGAGGAGAGUGGAAGAGCACAUGAGUCCCUUUCUUCUUUUCUAAUAUUAACUCAUCUUUUCUCACUGACAUAAAAUCUUUUCCAAACUUAAUUGGAUUUCCUAAUUUUGGAAUCCAAUUCCAACCCACUUUUCUUCAAGGGCGAAGUCACUUUCCCAUGGAUUGGAACUCGGCUUUAUUGAGGAAGUAUGGCCUCCAACCAAUUCUCCCUUUGUCUCCCCAUUUGGUUAGUCUUUUAGCCUUCAAUUUGUUUUGUCAUUUCCACUUUUCUUUUUUUCUUUUCAAUUAUUUUCCAUCACAUCAAGAAAGUUAAUAUAGUAAGAAUUCAUAUACUAUGACAAGUGUCCCAUGCAAAUAUCCCAAAUUUUUAAUUAAUAAAGAUUUCAAAGGAUAUUGUAUGAAAUAUAUUUUUAAGUUUAUGUAUAAUUAUAAUAUUAGAUUUUAUUAUAACAUAUGAAAAAUGAUGGAAAAUAUCGUUAUAAAUAUUAUAGGUUGUAAAGGAAAAAAGUUAUUAUACGAGAUGACUUGUAGAAACUAUACGAGGUGAACGAAGAGGAAAAAAUAACAUAAAAAACCCGAUAAAGUGAGAGGGGUUUGUAACAGGGUAUGGAGACAAGAAGUAAAUAAAAAUGAGAUAUUUCGAGAACUUAACAAUUGUAUUCGGUUAUGUCCUUUAUAGCAUUUUCUAUUGUAUAGUGGAAAAAUUAUUUCUCAUCUGACAGUAUAAGUAUAGUUGUUAGUUCGAACUACAUUACAAUCUUGUGUAUUUUUUUAUUGAUUAUUUUAUUUUUGUAUUCUUGAUUUAACAUUAUUUGCAUUAAAACUUUUGUUGACACAAUAAUAUUAAAAUUGAUUUUUGACCUUAAUACAAAGUUUGGAGUUUCAUUGAGCAUCUAUUUAUACAUUUUAAAGUUGUAAGGAUUUAUUCAAUCACGAUUUCCAAUAUAUAUAUUUUGAAUGUUUUAUAGAGUUGAAUAAUAAUUUAAAUUUGGUUCAUGAAAUGAAGAAUUGGUAGAGGUUGUAUUUAAAAGAAAAUUUAUUUUUUAUAUAUGAAAUAAAUAAUCAUAAUGGAUACAUUUCAGAUUCAAUACAACUCAUGACUCUUAAAACAAAAUCUUAUUUAGACAAAAAAAAACUAAAAAAAAAUAUAAUUACAAAAACAGAAGUUGGGUUUAUGUGGCUAAAAUCAGAUAUGGAAGAUAAGAAAUAAAAUAAAAUAAAAAGGAGAGUGGAAAAAAAAAGGAGAGUUAAAAGAUAAAUUUACCACAGAGUUAACGGUCGACUUUUACUGUGCAAAUGAAUCUAAAGUGAUGACGUGGCAGUCAGUUUUUUGGAACACGAGGAAAACAAACAUCAUUAAUAUCUGCAAUUUUUUCAACAUCAGUCGGUUUUCACUUAGUCAGUUGCCACCUAUUUUUUUGGAAUAUUUCCAAUUAAUUAUUAGAAAAUUAAAAAUAAUUAACAAUUAAUCACAAGUUUUUGAGGUGUAUAAAAGAAAAAUAAGAAACCCCCCCCCCCAAAAAAAAAAAACAAAAUCCCAAAAAGAAAAAUCCAUUACUGUAUUUAAUUGUUGAUGAGGAACAAAACCCUAAGGGGUUCUUGUAAGAACAAAUCGCCGCCGGAUUGAUCUCAACCGUCAAUACCGCUCCUCUUCUUCUUGAUCUCAGCUCACUGUCUUUUUUGGGUUUUUGUUUUUCUGGUUUCUCGCAACGACUUUCUUACACUGCCGUUGUUUUUGUUGUCGAGGUUGAAGGAAAGUGGAAAAAUAUGUUGUGGGGAAUUUGUUUGGGUAAUUCAUGAGACGGAGUUCGCGGGAGGAUGGUUUGUUUUGGGUUGUGGUUUCGUGUUUUGAUCGAGGGGGGGUUUCGGUUUUAGGGUCCGAAGUGGUGAAGUGGAGUUGAAAAAAUUGGUUUUUGGUUAUAAAGUCUUGGUUUUUUGUUAUCCGUUUGGAAGAGGAGAUUCUGAGGUUGUAAGCAUGGGUUUUAGGUGUUUGGGAGCAUGGCUGUUGGUUCUGGAAGCUUUUUAGGGUUUAGGGUUUGGUUUUGGUUUGUUGGAUGAUCAAUUGGAGCCGGUGAAAAUGUUGUCUGAAUUGGGGAGGAGGCCGAUGCUCAAAAACGGUGACGGAUCGUUUGGGGAUGAUUUGGAGAAGGAUAUAGGGUUGUUGCUUCGUGAGCAGCGGCGUCAAGAGGCGGAUGAUUAUGAAAAGGAGCUAAAUUUGUAUAGAAGUGGGUCUGCUCCGCCAACUGUUGAGGGUUCUAUGAAUGCAGUUGGGGGUUUGUUCGGUGGUGGAGCUGCCUUUCCGGGAUUUCCAGAUGAUGGGAAUGGGAAUGGGUUCGCGUCUGAGGAGGAGCUUAGGUCUGAUCCAGCUUACCUUUCUUAUUACUAUUCAAAUGUGAAUUUGAACCCACGGCUCCCACCUCCAUUGCUUUCCAAGGAGGAUUGGAGGUUUGCUCAAAGACUGAAAGGAGGGAGUUCUGGAUUGGGAGGGAUUGGAGAUAGAAGGAAAAUGAAUAGAAAUGAUAGUGGUAGUGUUGGUAGAUCGAUGUAUUCGAUGCCACCAGGGUUUAAUUCGCGGAAAGAAGAGACUGAGGCAGACUCAGAGAAACUUUGCGGUUCAGCAGAGUGGGGUGGCGAUGGACUCAUCGGGUUGUCAGGGUUAGGACUAGGGAGCAAACAGAAGAGUCUUGCAGAAAUUUUUCAGGUGAGUUUCUUCUGUGGUUUUGCUGCUUAUAUGGUUUAUGUCCACUUCUUACUUACCAUACUGUUUCUGAAUAUCCAAGGUUGAGAUCUUCUGAUUACAAUGUAGAUUAUCACUUUUUGAUCGGUGCUAGUUUGACUAUCCAAGGAAAAAUUUGCCCUUGUUGCGGCAUUUAUGGUUUCCUGUUGAUAUUUGACAUAUAUCAUAUUGUAUCUCUAUGGGGAAUCAUCAGAAUAAAGGUUGUGGUAUGUCAUGUGCUUUAAAGGGAUAAUUUGUAUUGUCAUGUUUCCAAUGAUUGUGGUUUGAGUAUAAUUCCCUUCCUUGGAUUGUCUAUUUUGACGGUUAUUGUACUGGCAAUCUUUGCCAUGUAACAAAUUGCAUCUAUAUGGGAAGUUUGAGUCAUCUUUUUAAAAUCUUGUUUGACACGUGUUUUGAACGGAUGAUUAUGUGCUCCCUCUGUACAUGUCAAGAUUAUGAGUUUUUGUUUACAUAGUUUUGUUAUAAGGGGCGGACAUGUAAACUAUAUAGAGAAGUUUGUGUCAUCAGAUUAAAGAUCUAGGUUUGACACGUGUUUUGUAGGGAAAAUGAUAUUCUCUCACUCUCUUUGCUGAUGAUGAUAAUUUUUUAUGUUUCAUGUCAAUUUGAAUCCUUUAUGUUGAUUUCUUGUUCAUGUAGUUUUGUCUCUUAUAGGGUUUGGGCAUGUGACAAAUUGCAUCUAUAUAGAGAACUUUGGGUUGUCAAAUUAUGCUAUGGUUGGCACAUGUUUUGAAGGAAAAAUGAUAAUUGGCUCCCUGUUCUUUCCCUGGACUAUUACACCUUCAUAUAGUUAAUUUGAAUCAUUUAUGCUGAUGUCUUGUUCUUGUAGGUUUGUUUCUUAUAAAGGCUGGAUUAGUUAAUCUAUAUUUAGCAUAGCUUGGGAAAUAAUAAAGUAUUUGUCAUAGUUGUUACAGGUCCGCUUAAAGCGCGCCUAGGCUUAAGGUGCAAUCAUUCUCUAGCUAUAACGCUUCACCUACUAAUAGGCGCACCUUGUUGGAGAGGCUUUCUUCGUUGUUUCCUUUUUCUUUCUAUAAUAUUGUAUUCUUGAAAUUUCUGACAGUAUAUUUAAGCUUUAUGUGUAGGGUCUUGUUGAGGAGUGCUGUUUUUUGUUAGUCCCUCUUUGUUUUUUUGGUUGUGCUUUAGGCCCCCUUUGUAUGCUCCCUGUGUUCUUUGGGGCGCUUUUGGCAUUUCUCUUUUUAAUACAUGUUUUUUCUUUACCUAUCAAAAAAAAAAAAAGGCUUUAUGUAAUUUCAUUAGUUUUUUGUAAGAUGAUUCUUCUAAGGUUUUGAAAUCAUGAAGUUUUUGUUAGUUUAAUUGAAAUUUGAUGAUAUUUAAUAUUUUAUAAAAUCGACAUGCAUCUGAAGUUGUGUCUCACUUCAUUUGGGUGUGCACCUUGUAUUGCGCCUAAGCCUUACAAGGCUUUUGCACCUUUUUGAACUAUGGUAUUUGGGUUCUUCCUAAAAUGGUGUGGUUCUGAAGGUUUUGUUUGUAUGGACAAAUGGGGGAUUAGGUUUGGCUACUUUGCCCUUAUUGGAUCUCAGUGAUGGAAUGGGGAUUGGUUUUAGCCAGUUGGUGUUAUUGAUCACUUUCAUUCUGUUUAGUAUGUGUGCUUUUUUUGAUAAGUAAAGCAAUUGUAUUAAAAGCGCCAAAAAAAACGCCUAAAGUAUACACGGUGUAUACAAGGCCAAAAAAAAGGAGGGAAUUAUGUGCGCUGCUUGUAUACUUUGUGUUUACAUGGGUUGGUGCUCCCCUUUUUCUGCUAGGCACUUUCAUUAAUGUACUUAUCCUAAUUUUCCUAUAUAUAUACAUAUACUAAUACUGCUUGUUGAGGCCUUUCUUAAAAAUUCUAACUUAUAUGUUAGAACAUGAGAUUUUUAAAUACUUGGGCUAGUGUCUUUGCAUUAAUAAACCUUCUUCAUCCAUACACAUAUUUGAUUGAAGCUCUAUUAUUAGGUCACCUUAUAGGGAUCUCCCAAAUUCCCCCCAGAUUCACAAUUUUUUAAUUCUACUUUAUGGUGUUAAUUUUUGCUAAUCAUUUGAGGCAUCUACUUCAACAUCUUUACUUGGAUCGAACAAAUGUGCUAUGCUUUAUCAGCCCCAAUUUGUGAUGCGUGAAGAAUAACUGGUGUAUUAGUGAUGAAAAAUUUGGAUUGUCCUAUUCACAAUUCAGUUUGUCCUUUUGCAGUCCAUUUUACUAGUGACAUGAGGUUUUUUCAAACAUACCAAACAGAGGCCAAUAAGGAAAAAGUGGAAAAUACCACUAUAUACUUUUCCUGUAUAGUUUAUAUGAAAAUAAAUUUAUCAUGUCACAUUCUAUAUGUACAUCUCCAAUUUAACAUCCUUGUGAGGAACAUUUCCCUUGUGAGGAGCAUUUCCCUUGUGAGGGGCAUUUCCCUUGUUAUCUACAUAGAACCAUGCCCAAAAAAUGGUUGUCUUUAAGGUAUUUAUCGCCAUCAAUAUCACCUCAUCUUGAUUCUUGGUUUUCCCAUAAAGUUUUAGUAAAUAUUCAAAACUUAUUGACCUUUCAACUUCCAACGCUGUGGUGCAGUAAUGUCAUUUUGGUUUGUGGCGAGAUUGCUAAGUCUACAAACUGCAAAGUUCUACUAAUGUGAUGUCUGAAAGUUGACCUUUAUAAUUUGUGAUGCUGGGUUAAAGCAUAUCAAAAUGGUAUCUUUGGUUGUAGCAUUUCUCCUUAAGAGGAGCUAUUAAGCAACUGGCAGUGUGGGGGGAAAAGUAGGAGCGAUAUCAGUUGAGUCUAUCCUUUCUAUCUUAUCUAUAUAAGAAAAGGGAGAACUUAUGACCUCGCAGAUAGAGAGGUAUUCAAACCCCAGUAUUUCUAUCAAUAUCUUGGUUGUCAAAACUGACUCUUUCAAUUGCUCAGACAUCCCUUCCCUUUGUGCUUUGCCUGCCCUAUCUAUCCGCUCGCUGGCAGGCAGGGCUUAUCUAGGUGAUUAGCAAUGUUUGCUUAGGCCUAUAGGUGGAUUCUAUUACCUGCUGGUUAGUGAAGCGUUUCAGGUAAUAUGAUGGCUAGAUGGAGCUGUUUGUGGUUACUUUGAAAUAUUUGUUCCUUAAGUCCUUGUUCUCUUGGUCUAAGGAAUACUAUUGGGAUGGUAAUUUGCCCUUUUUAACCUCAUUGUUAGGGUGAUUGGGCUGGGCAUUGGACUGGGUCCUUGAUUCCUGUCUCCUCUUUCAUCUCCCUCUAGGAGGUGGAGUAUAGAUACGUUUCAGGUGCUAUGGUUUUCUCCUUUCUGUAUUUUUAAUACAUUACUUUGCUUAUGAAAAGGAAUUUCAAAAUAUUAAAUAAUGUUUCUAACCAAUUUUUAUUUAUUUAUUUUUAUUUUUAUUUUUUUAUCAGAACCAACUGAAAAUAAUAUAUAAUAAAAUAAGAAAUGUAUGCUGAAAACCUAUUAGAGAAUUGACAAAAAGAAUGUGGUGCACAAAUGAUAUUGAACAUAAGAAGCAGCCUAACUAAAAUCAAUAGCCUAAAAGGGUGGGUAUAUAUGUGACAUGCCUGUCCAGAGCAUGGCUCCAAAAGAAUAAAGAUUUAGGCAAACUAUUUAAUAUGUAUUUGCUUGUUGUUUGAGACAGUUAAUCACAACGUCAAGCUGUUAGUUUUGUUCUGAAGGCAUGUUCUUUUUAAAUGCUUUGUAGAAAUUCAAAUGUAUUGUUAAAAUAUGCCAACUUUGAUGAGUUGUUAGCUUGUUCCUUGUUGUAUCAUCAUUCCUUUGAAUCAAGUUUGAUUGAUAAAACAUUAUGAUGAGGCACCAUUCAUAUUUCUGCUAAAUUAUUGUCAUAUGAUUGUUUUGGUAAACAAUUAGUUUGGUAUUGAAGCAGGAUGAUUUAGGGCGCACCACUCCUGUCUCUGGACACCCUUCUCGUCCAGCAAGCCGCAAUGCUUUUGAUGAAAAUGCUGAACCCUUGGGCUCUGUUGAAGCGGAGUUGGGUCAUUUACGCCGUGAAUUGAAAUCUGCUGAUGUUUUACGAUCCGGUGCAAGUGUUCAGGGCUCAUCAACGGUCCAAAAUAUUGGUGCACCUACUUCAUAUACUUAUGCCUCUGUGUUGGGUGGUUCCUUAUCAAGAAGCACUACUCCUGAUCCCCAACUCAUUGCUAGGGCUCCUAGCCCCUGUCUUACACCCAUUGGAGGAGGGAGAACUGCCAUUUCUGAAAAGAGAGGAAUUAAUGGUUCUAGCUCUUUUAAUAGUGUCCCUCCUAGCAUGAAUGAAUCUGCAGAUCUGGUGGCUGCUUUGUCUGGUAUGGAUCUGUCAACAAAUGGCGUGAUUGAUGAAGAAAAUCAUUUGCCAUCACAGAUUGAACAGGAUGUUGAGAAUCAUCAAAGCUAUCUCUUCAAUCUACAAGGUGGUCAGAGCAAUAUUAAGCAACAUUCAUACCUGAAGAAAUCUGAAUCUGGGCAUUUACAAAUUCCUUCUGCUCCUCAGUCAGGAAAGGCAUCAUAUUCUGAUUCAGUUAAGAGCAAUGGUGUUGGUUCAGAGCUGAACAACUCCUUGAUGGCUGAUAGGCAAGCUGAAUUACACAAAUCUUCUGUUCCCUCCGGUAAUUCGUACUUGAAAGGAUCAUCUAUGUCUAGUCAUAACGGUGGAGGUGGCUUGCCUUCUCAUUAUCAGCAGUUUGUAGAUAGCACAAAUUCAUCAAUUCCUAACUAUGGUUUGGGUGCAUAUUCCAUGAAUCCAGCUUUGGCUUCCAUGAUGGCAAGCCAGCUUGGUGCGGCUAAUUUGCCACCAUUAUUUGAAAAUGUCGCUGCAGCAUCAGCUAUGGGAGUCCCUGGGAUUGAUUCAAGAGUUUUGGGAGCAGGCUUGGCUUCUGGGCCAAAUAUAGGGGCUGCUACAUCAGAGUCACAGAAUCUCAAUAGAAUUGGGAAUCACAUGGCAGGGAAUGCUCUUCAAGCACCUUUUGUGGAUCCAAUGUAUCUUCAAUAUUUGAGGACGGCUGAAUAUGCUGCAGCACAAGUUGCUGCUCUUAAUGAUCCCUCUGUAGAUAGGAACUACUUAGGUAAUUCGUAUGUUGAUUUACUUGGACUCCAGAAAGCUUAUCUGGGAGCUCUGCUUUCUCCUCAGAAAUCACAGUAUGGUGUUCCCUUGGGCAGUAAAUCUAGUGGUUCUAAUCAUCAUGGUUACUAUGGUAACCCGGCAUUUGGUGUUGGCAUGUCAUACCCUGGAAGUCCCCUAGCAAGUCCUGUUAUUCCAAAUUCUCCCAUUGGACCAGGAAGUCCUAUCAGACACAAUGAUCUCAAUAUGCGAUAUCCAUCUGGGAUGAGAAACUUAGCUGGGGGAGUCAUGGCACCCUGGCACUUGGAUGCUGGUUGCAACAUGGAUGAAGGCUUUGCCUCCUCACUACUUGAAGAGUUCAAGAGUAACAAAACCAAAUGUUUUGAGCUUUCAGAAAUUGCUGGUCAUGUUGUUGAGUUUAGGUAUAUGUUGCUCAUAGAGAUUUUUGUGCUACGUUAUUCUAAUAGUAUCCUGCAAUUGAUAUGUGAUUAACAUCUUCUAUGAGCAGUGCGGACCAGUAUGGAAGCCGAUUCAUUCAACAAAAACUUGAAACGGCCACAACAGAAGAGAAAAACAUGGUUUACCAGGAAAUCAUUCCCCAAGCUCUCUCUUUGAUGACAGAUGUGUUUGGUAACUAUGUUAUACAAAAGGUAUGAAAUUCUCUUUUCGUUGCAUGAUUCUUGCAUGCGCGCUAUAUGUGUGUGUAUCUGCACACAUUAUUAUUAUUAUUAUUAUAUAAUUUUAAAUGGUUUUACAUUUGCAACUGUUUCUAAUUUUCAGUUUUUUGAGCAUGGACUAGUAUCCCAGAGAAGAGAACUGGCUGGCAAGCUUUAUGGUCAUGUACUGACACUUAGCCUUCAAAUGUAUGGUUGUCGAGUGAUCCAAAAGGUACCAUUAGUUUUGCCACUAAACCUCAACUUGACUUUUGCUGUGUGAUAUUGUGUGUUGUUCACAUAAAGGUCUCUCUAUCUUUCAUUAUCUGCAGUUGUAGCACCAGUCAUUCGCCUUGAUUGUCAUUUGAUUUACAGAUGGCUCAUUAAUGCUGUUAGUAUGGUAGGAAUGAUAAUGCUAUCAUAUUAAGCUUCUCUACAAUAGAGUGAACUUUCUGGAUAUCUUAAGAACAUUAUUCUCCAAAAACAUAGAAUAGUUCUUAGAUUGCUCAAUCAAAAUCAGGAAUUUUGAAUUUUGCAUCUAGGAAAAGAUGUACAGCAAGUACACUUCCCUCGGCCCACCCGGACCUGGCCCGUCCCUUUGGGCCUGGGUUAGGGAAGGCCCAUUCCUCAGCCUCUCUGGGAAACACUUAUAUACCCCUUGGCCCAGCUUCUCCCAGUGACUUAGGGCUUGGAACCCCUACCUGCUCCCUGCGCCGGAGGAGAGGAUCCCCCCCUGAGAGCCCCCAGUUGGAAGCGCCGUCCCAUUUGGAAGUAACGUCGGCAAAUGACCUCCCUCCCACUGUCGAAGGCCGCAAUCCUCAAGGUAUGCUCUUGCCCCCUCCACCCCCCUUGAGUGGGAUGCUUUCUUCUCCUUCUUCUACUCCAUUCUUGGUUACGGGAUCCGAGAGGGAAAGGGGAUGCUCUGGACAGACGGACCCGACGUCAAGAGAGACUGAAGAGACGCCGAUUCCUCUGUCCUUGAUGCUUAGAGAUGGGUCGAUAAUGGUCCUGAGGCCCGACCCCCCAAACUUUGCGGCGAAGCAGAAGGACCACACAGCUAUCUCCCCGCGCGAAGAAGUAUGGUCAGAGGAGGAGAUUUCCAAUCUCUUCCAUUUUAGCAAAGUCUUGGGAAUGCCUGUCGAAGGACACGAGGUUGAAAUUCUGAAUUUACUUGAGAAAUUGAAGCUGAGGACGGGAAAUAGUACCCUUUGCAAGCGACGAAAGAAGAAAAAAUCUUGCACCACCCGUUUCGAAAGAGAGUUAAAAAGGUUGGAAUGCUCUGUUAGUUACGGGGAGACUUCAGGGAUAGCUAAAAAGUCCGGCCACAAUUCCUGGGAUUUGGUUCCAGUUGACUAAUGAGAAUUAAAAUUCUCUGUUGGAAUGUUCGCGCGGGCUUAAUGACUCAGAGAAAAGAAAGUUGAUCAAGGGCGUGGUAAGGAACCAAAAACCAGAUUUGGUUUGCCUCUUGGAGACGAAGGUGAAAGAGAUGUCUCAGCAAAUGGUCAACAGUGUGGGUAUUGGAAGAUUUCUUAAUUGGGCUUCUGUGGAUGCUAGGGGUGCGGCAGGAUGUCUAUCCGUUUCAGAAACUGUGUCGAUGGUUUCACUUGGAUUUUUUGUGGGGUAUAUGGGCCGGUGAUUAGCAGUGAAAAGGAGGAUUUUUGGGAGGAACUUAGUGCCAUCCGUGGUCUCUGGGAGGACCCCUGGUGCUUGAGGGGACUUCAAUGCUGUUAGAUUCCCAGAGGAAAGAAGGAACUCCCUUAGGCUCACAACUGAAAUGAGAAGAUUCUCAGAGGUUAUAAGGGAACUGGGGCUAAAGGACCUCCCUCUGGCUGGAGGCCCUUUCACUUGGAUAGGGGGUUUGAACUUUCAAGCUGCCUCUAGAUUGGACCGUUUUCUGUUUUCGGACCAGUGGGAAGACCAUUUCUCCGCCAUCACCCAAGCUGCUCUCCCUCGUUUGAUUUCUGACCAUAGUCCUAUAGUCCUUCAAGCUGGAGGAUUCUCCUCAGGCAAAAGCCCUUUCCGUUUUGAAAAUAUGUGGCUAAAAAUUGAUGGUUUCCAAGACCUAGUCCGAAGCUGGUGGAAUGGGUAUUCUGUUGAAGGUUAUAGUAGCCACUGCAUUGCCGAGAAGCUCAAAGCGCUCAAGAAGGACUUGAAGAACUGGAACAAGGAGGUGAUAGGCAAUGUCUCUCUCAAUAGAGCAGAAGCCUUCUCUCGCCUGCAGCGAUGGAAGACCAGGGAGAAUGACAGCCCCCUCACUGCUAGUGAAGUAGAGGCUAAAAAUCUGGCUCUUGAGGACUAUAAGAAAUGGGCUCUGUUGGAAGAAACUUCUUGGAGACAGAAGUCAAGAGAAAUUUGGCUAAAAGAAGGCGACAAGAACACCAAAUACUUCCACAAAAUGGCCAAUGCUAGGGCAAGGAAGAACUUCCUGUCUAAAAUUAGAAUAAAUGAGGUCACUCUCUCUUCUAGUGAUGACUUAAAAGAAGGCGUUUGUAGGGCUUAUAAAUCCCUUCUCUCAGAACCAGGGGAUUGGAGGCCUAAUAUCAACGACCUUAACUUCAAGGAGCUGGGAGAAGGCUUGGCCAGCAGCCUGGAAGUUGUGUUUUCUGAGGAGGAAAUCUAUGCAGCCCUAAGCAGCUGCUGUGGCGACAAAGCUUCAGGCCCGGAUGGCUUUACAAUGGCCUUUUGGUUGUUUUGCUGGGAUGUUGUUAAAUCAGAAAUUUUGGAGCUCUUCAGAGAGUUUCACCUCCAUGGGACCUUCCAGAGAAGUCUGAACUCCACGUUUCUUUUGCUCAUUCCCAAAAAGGAAGGGGCUGAAGACCUAAGAGAUUUUAGACCAAUCAGCCUGGUAGGGAGUGUAUACAAAUUACUAGCCAAAGUCCUUGCUAAUAGGCUGAAAUCAGUGAUGGGAGAGGUGAUUUCUGAUUCGCAGCAAGCUUUCGUCCAUGGGAGACAGAUUCUAGACGCUGUUCUUAUUGCCAACGAAGCCCUUGAUUCUUGAUUAAAAGACAACGCGCCGGGCCUCCUCCUUAAAUUGGACAUUGAGAAGGCUUUUGACCAUGUCAAUUGGAACUUCCUCAUAGAUGUGAUGUCUAGAAUGGGAUUUGGGCACAAAUGGAUUAAUUGGAUGAAAUGGUGUUGGUCCACGGCCACAUUCUCGAUCCUCAUCAAUGGGUGCCCCACGGGCUUCUUCCGUAGUUCUAGGGGAUUGAGGCAAGGCGACCCUCUCUCCCCCUACCUCUUUCUUUUUGCCAUGGAAGCUCUUAGCCAACUGCUAUCACGUGCAAGAAAUGAGGGCUUUAUUUAUGGCUUCAAAGUGGGAGGAAGAGGUAGAGAGGGGCUGAUCGUUUCCCAUCUCCUGUUCGUCGAUGAUACCUUAAUCUUCUGCGACGCCGAUGCAGUCCAGUUGCAAUACCUUAGCUGGACCUUCAUGUGGUUUGAGGCGAUUUCAGGGUCUGAGCAAGUCUGAGGCCAUCCCAGUGGGGGAAUGUCCCCCCAUGGAGCCCCUCGUCUCAAUUUUGGGAUGUAAGAUUGGAUGUUUACCUACUUCCUACCUGGGUCUUCCCCUUGGAGCCCCCUACAAAUCCACUAGUGCGUGGGAUGCAGUGGAAGAAAGAUUCAGGAAAAGAUUGUCUCUCUAGAAAAGGCAACACCUUUCCAAAGGUGGUCGUCUAACCUUAUUAAAGAGCACCCUCUCUAGCCUCCCAACCUACUUCCUCUCUCUCUUUGUGAUCCCCAAGAGAGUUUGUGCAAGACUUGAAAAAAUCCAAAGGGAUUUCUUAUGGGUUGGGGGCGCUUUAGAAAACAAACCUCACUUGGUGUGUUGGAAGGUUAUUUGUGCCGCUAAAAAGGAUGGAGGCUUGGGCAUCCACAACCUAGCUAUUUUUAAUAAGGCCCUUCUUGGUAAGUGGUUGUGGAGAUUUGCCAAUGAGAACGAGUCCCUUUGGAAGCAAAUUAUCUCUAGUAAAUAUGACCUUCAGGAUGGGGGAUGGUGCUCCAAAGGUGUUAGAGAUCGUUAUGGGGUGGGUGUUUGGAAGGCCAUCAGAAACGGUUGGGAAAACUUUCGAUCUCACUCCCGCUUCCUUGUAGGGGAUGGCACCAGAGUGAAGUUUUGGAAGGACUUGUGGUGUGAAAAUCAAUCUCUGGAAGAAGCUUUUCCCAUCUUAUUUAAUCUCUCAGUCAACAAAAAAGGCUUGGUUGUUGAGGCCUGGGAGGAAGAUGGAGUUGGGGGUAGCUGGGGACCUCGUUUCAACAGACACCUCAAUGAUUGGGAGUUGGGGGAAGUGGAAAACUUAUUAAGCAAACUUCAUCCUUUGGCUAUUAGAAGAGGUGUGGAUGACUCGCUUAGGUGGAAAGCAAAUAAGAAUGGGACCUUUUCUGUUAAGUGUUUUUAUAGCUCACUCUCAAUGGGCAUCAACCACCCCUUCCCAGCUAGUAUUAUCUGGACGUCUUGGGCUCCAACCAGGGCUAGUUUCUUUGGUUGGGAGGCGGCUUGGAACAGACUACUCACCAUUGAUCGCCUAAAGAGAUUUGGUUGGAACAUCCCCAACAGGUGCUUCUUGUGUAAAAAUGAGGAGGAGUCUAUUGAUCACCUUCUCCUGUUUUGUGAGAAGGCCAGAAUGUUAUGGUAUCUAACCUUCUCCCUUUUUGGGGUGCAAUGGCUGAUGCACUCCUCUAUGAAAAGGAAUCUCCUAGGAUGGUAUGGAUCUUUUGUGGGCAAGAAAAGGGAGAAAGCAUGGAAAACUGCCUCCCUUUGCCUAAUGUGGACUAUUUGGAAAGAAAGGAAUAGAAGAGCCUUCGAUGAUGUGGAAAGAAACGACCAAGAUAUCAAAUCCAUUUUUUUGUACACUUUUGUGAAUUGGGCUAGGGUAUAUAUUAAGGAUCAUACUUUAUCGUUGUUUGAUUUUGUAAACUGGUUAGCCACCAAGUAAGGGUCAGAACCUUUUGUUUCUUGAUCCUUUGUAUCUUGGUAUACUCUCUUUAGCCUUUUGGCUUUUAAUGAAUUUCCUUUAUCUAUCAAAAUAAAAAAAAAAAAAAAAAAAAGGAAUGGGUCUUAAGUCAUCCCUAUGGCUUCUGUAGUCUUGACUCAAAGGUGGAUCUCUUUGCCUUUAUAUUUAUCAGCUGAAUUUACUGUGUACUACAUGAAAGUCAAAGAGAGGCUAAUCUUGAUAAUUGCUACGUGCCCAUGCUUGCAAGUUCAUCAAAGUUCUAAUCCUAAUUGAACUGUGACUGAUUUGAGUUCAUUGGGGAUGGCAAUAAUAAAAUGUUUCUAAUCAUGCAGGCAAUAGAAGUUGUUGAUCCAGACCAAAAGAUUAAAAUGGUUGAGGAGCUUGAUGGUCAUAUCAUGCGAUGUGUGCGUGAUCAGAAUGGAAACCAUGUCAUCCAAAAGUGUAUUGAAUGUGUUCCUGAAGAUGCUAUUCAGUUUAUCAUCUCAACAUUCUUUGAUCAGGUUGUGACCCUCUCAACCCAUCCAUAUGGGUGUCGUGUGAUACAGGUUAGAAACUUUUUAUUGCUUAUCUUUUACAUCUUGAGGGUUCAAUUUGAAGACAUAAGGAAGAAGUGCUUCCAAUAUUUUUCAUAGGCAAAGAUCAAAUCUAUUAAAAGCAUCAGACAAAAGAGUGCACAAAAGUAUAGAUGGUGUAUACAAAGAUGCCAAUAGGCCAUACAAAGCAGAGAAAAAAGAAGUGUGUCUAAUAUGAUGUGUCUUUCAUGUGACAGAGAGUUCUGGAGCACUGCAGGGAUCCAAAAACCCAGAGUAAAGUGAUGGAUGAGAUUUUAGGAUCUGUUAGCAUGCUGGCACAAGAUCAGUAUGGCAAUUAUGUUGUUCAGGUUUUUAAUCUUUUCCAGAACACUACUGGUAUUGGCUUACAUUUUCUUCUAUAACUAGCUGGCAGUGACAUAAAGUAUCGUUGUCAUGUUAAGUGUUGUUUGUGUGAUACAGGCCUUCUGAGAUGACUAGAUGUGGUGAUUAUGGUUUUCAACUUUUUUCUAUUGUUUCUGUAUGAACAUUGUACUGACAACUUUAAGCUCUUCAAGCCUGGUAUUUCCCAUUUUACAGCCAUUUUGCAUUUUUCUGUUCUAGUACUCUUACCACUUAUAAAACUUUAGCAGCAUAGAUUCUUUGCACUUGUCUGUCAACUGCAUUGUUUAGUCUUUCUCUGUCUUCUCAUUCCAGAUGGGUUUUAUUUUUUAUUUUUUAUUAGUAAGUAAUGACUUGGUUUUAAAUGCCAUAUUUGCUCUGUUCUGAACCUCAUCAUAUACAUAGGGACUGUUUCACACUUAUUUUGUGAUGUAUCGUUGUAAUCCAAUAUCUCUGUGGUAAAUAAAUUAGAUAACAGAUCAAGAAAUUGCGAAGUAAUUGAAGUCACAGCUCAAUAGAAGAGCUUCUAGGGUUAUAGGUCCUAACAACAAGUUCCCAAUUUGACUCUGUUAUUAGGUGACAAGAACUGCUAGAAAUUCAUUAACAAAGAUUAUAUAUGAUAGACUACGAUAGCCUAUCAAAAAAAUGUGAUAAGACUGCAACAACUAUUCUUGGUCUUCAAUUAGUCACACAUUACUACUUCAAGGAUUUCUAAAUAAAGCACAAGGAGACAACUGAGACAGAAAGACUCAGUAAAAGAUGAUACUCUGGUGCUCUAGGUUACAUUCAUGCAUUUUGGGCCUUGAUAAACCUUUUAUGUGCAUAUGCAUCUUGUAUGAGUUUGAAGAUUCAGAGAAUUCCUAGACUUCUUUUAAAUGUUUGUUUGAUCAUUCUAUGCAUAUGCAAUGAGUCUUUUUUUCUUAGAUGUUUAUUGAGUAUAUCAACCAAGUCAUCAUUGAUUUAUCCAGCAUUAAUGUCUGUAUACUUCCUUGGUGUAAGGCUGCUUUUACAUUUUCUUUUCAUUACAUCAAGAGUUCAAUGUUUGUUUGCCCAUUGUAAGUUACCCAACAGAGAAUCACAACUAUGGUUGAUGGUUUGACUGACAAGAUCUCUGUGGCUAGUAUUCAAAUUUUGAUUUAAAGUUACUACUAAAAUUUUAACCCAAAAGUCCUUCAUGUCUUACUCAAGUGGCAAGGGGUGGGUUUAUGAGAGGUUUGAGGUCCAAAUCCCAAUUGGGAUAAUAAAAAAUAAAAAAUAAAAAAUAAAACAGUGGCAAGGGGUUGUGGAGAGGAUAUGGGAAGUUCUAGGUUUGAGUCCCACUAGGGAUAAAGAAACUGAAAAUAUGUUUCUUAUCCAGAAAGUAAAAGAACCAAAAGAAAAGAAUAGAUGAAACAUAACUCAUAUGUGCACACAGUUGUACAUGUUUAAUACCUCAAUCUAUUUUACUUAGUCAUUUUUGUUGGAAUGGCGCAACCAGUGCCAAGACAGGCUUAAUCUUUGCACUGACCAACAAGAACUUCCUAUAAAGUGUUUAGCUUGAGAUGUACACAUACCAGUGACACUUGGGGGUGCAUAAAUUGUACAUGUUUAAUACCUCAAUCUAUUUUACUUAGUCAUUUUUGUUGGAAUGGCGCAACCAGUGCCAAGACAGGCUUAAUCUUUGCACUGACCAACAAGAACUUCCUAUAAAGUGUUUAGCUUGAGAUGUACACAUACCAGUGACACUUGGGGGUGCAUAAAUUGUUGAUAUUAUAAAUUACUGUCACUUUCAUGCGAUCACUAAGUGUGCUGCUUUGAUAUCUUUCUUGAACUGGCCAAAUCUUGCUGGGUGAUGCUAGUUUGACUUUUGAGCCCCCUGCUGUUGGUCUAAAUUGAUAUUCAAAUGUAUGUUCUCCUGGAUUACCUGUCAUGGCGUUUCUGUGUGUGUACUUCGUUGUUUCUUAGUCAAUCUUUUGCUUUUAUUUUUAACAGCAUGUUCUGGAGCAUGGACAACCACACGAGCGCUCUGCUAUAAUUAAGGAAUUAGCUGGAAAGAUAGUUCAGAUGAGUCAGCAGAAGUUUGCCUCCAAUGUUGUGGAGAAGUGUUUAACUUUUGGCGGUCCUGCUGAGCGCCAGAUCCUGGUGAAUGAGAUGCUUGGCACUACUGAUGAGAAUGAGCCUCUUCAGGUUUGGCCAAUCACUAUUUACUUUUCUGCCACUAGAUGGAAUGACCAAGUCAAAUGGGGGAGUGUUUCUAUAUAAGGCCUUUGAUUGGUAGUGGAGCCAGAUCAGAAACAUUUUUCUGGAACCUGUUAUUUAAUGUCUCUGUCCUGCCAUGGUAAUGCUGUACUUGGCACCUCUGAAUUCUCUUAACCAUGAAUUUUGCAUGGUAAGCCUAAAGUGGAACUGCAUCUAUUGAUGUAGCGGCUUAUGGGAAAUGAGCUUUCCCCAAGCUUAACCUCUAGCCGGUUUCACAAGAUUUAUGAACUUGAACUUAAUGUUUUAUGUCAUAUUCUAGGUAAAUAACAUUUUUUUUUUUCCGUAUUUUUAACCAGAGUUAAAUGUGGUUUGAAAUUAGUUCUGCUUGUAGUGUUUUUAGCAAUGGUUCUAGUGUUCCUUUCAUUUUCCCAGUACAGCUGUCUGUCGAAAAAGAAAUUGAGAAAGGAAAAAUCCUAUGAUUCUGAUGCUAUUAAAAUUUUGCUUAUUGCUUGAUUUCAUGGUUACGUCAACAUAUAGUUAUUUCCCACUUUGUUGUUCUUGUUGCUUGUGCAUCUAGGCUAUGAUGAAAGAUCAGUUUGCAAACUAUGUUGUACAAAAGGUGCUGGAGACUUGUGAUGACCAGCAGCGUGAGCUGAUCUUGUCCCGAAUUAAGGUUCAUCUUAAUGCACUGAAGAAAUACACUUAUGGAAAGCAUAUUGUUGCACGUGUAGAGAAACUCGUUGCUGCUGGGGGUACCUAUCCUUUCCCUCAUAUUUUACUUUAGCAUGCAUAUUAAAUAGUCGCUCAGGCUGCAUUUUUUAAGAAAGAAAACAUGUCUUUGCAGUUGCCUUUUUCUGUGUUUAUUCUUCAUUCCUUUUAGGAUGUGGACGUGCUGCUUUUUUGCUAGAUAAACACGACUAACUGACAAAUUGGGAUUGGUGGAUAACACAUGGGUUAAACUGCCAUAGACAUACUUGUUUAUAUUGGCAGGAGUUUUUUAGUAGUUCACUGAUAAUGGAAUUUGUAAAUUUUGGUUGGAGAUCUUUUGGUUCAGCCUUGCUAUGAAAUAUGGACUUCUGAUGACAUUUUACUGAUUAGAUGGCAUGAUCACUGCACUCAUAGACAAAAUGCUAAGGAUUGCAUACGUUCUUCCAAAUGCCUAAUGGGAACAUUGGAUAACCCUUGUGUAUGGAAAUGAUCAAUGCCUAGUUCCUCAUUCUGAUUUUGUUCUUAUGUGUUAUGAAUACCAUCUUAACAUAUGCAUGAUUCUUCCAUGUUCAGAUAGCUCUCUAACCCUUUGUACAUCAAAUUGUUUGCAGAAAGGAGAAUUGCUAUUCAGUCUCCACACCCUGCUUAGGUGGGCAUAGGAAAGAAAGAAGUUGUACAGCUAACUGAGGCUAGUGUGAGCUUCCUUUCUUCUUCUCUUUCUCUGGAAUCUAGAGCUAUGGUUCUACUAUCUCUUUAAGAUAGAUAUGAGCUGAUUGGCAAUAAAGCUGUUCUUGUACUGGAAAACUGUACAUUGUGUAGUUUAAGGUUUAUACAUAUAAUCAAGCAAGCUGAGAGGUUCGGGUGUUCAAUACACUUGAAGUCCAUGCAGAGGAGAUAAAUGACUAUACAAGUUUUUAAGGGUGUAAAAAAUGAUUAAAAUGGUGAGGUAGUUUAUAUGUUAACGCGACUGUACAAAUUUCGCCAUGUGGAGAGCUGUUGAUGUUUAGGUGAGGCCAGGAUAUUUUUGUUUAAUGUAUGCUUAUUGACUACUUUCUUUCUUUUAAAGUACAAUUUUCUCCUGUGCUCAAAGUAUCUUGUUUUGGUCUACUUUUUCUUUGUAUUUGUUCUUGGUGGUGUUAAUAUAUGGUUCAUUUUAUGCAAUCUAUUCCUCCAAUUAUACGUAGUUUCUCUGAAUGAAGAGAUGUCGACCUUUCGGGUAGUUUCAUUCUUCCCAAUUUCAGCCUGGGAUUGCACCCAUUGGUUGCACCAUACUCAUGGCAUUGCCUCAACUCUGAAUUAGCAGGGACCAUUUGAAAACCAAGUAUGUCCAAUUGUGAUUGCUUUUAGGGAGGGUAAGAUAAUAAUGCGAGGAUGGUAGAGAGUAGAGUGAUUGUAGCUGGAUUUGAAAGUGGAAUAGAGCACACUAUUGAAUCAAAAACCUUAACUGUUAAACAUGUUUUGGGAAUGAAUAUCUGUGGUUAAAUCCAAAGCCCAUUUUCCUCCAAAGGGGGGUUAGAAAAAAAAAAUGAGAAUGCUAUUUUGGGGGCAAAAUUAUUUCUUUGAAAUUUCUGGAUUUGGGGUUUGUCAAACCUGUUAGAGGUGUCAACUUAGCUUAGGAGUGUGGCUUUGAUGGCUCAAAAUCUGAAUCAACAAUUGAAGUCUGUUCUGCAAAUUGGAAGAGCCAAGUAUUACAGGUAUCUUAUAGAUGCUACAUCUUCUUGCUUUCCCUACAUCUUUCCAUAAUAAUGUUGAGUCAAAUAAUGACUGUUGCUAAACACAAGUUUGUAGGGAGGUUAAACCAGUUAGCCAAUUUUGAUGCAUGUCUCGUUUAAAUUAACUUGAAAAUUCAGGUCUUGCAUUCCAGUACUCAAGGUCUCUCAGAUGCCACAAACAAAUAUUGAUUUUCAGGAUGGUUGGAAAAAGCCAUGAAUCACAAGUUGAUAUGAAUUUUGUGGGAAUGAUAGUUUUUCAGAUAUUUUGUAAAUAAAAGUUUGUUUAGGAAUUAAAAUGUUUUUAAUAUAUAUUUUUUUAUAUUUUUAAAAAUAAUUUUUACAUGUGGUGCUUAAUUUUUAUUUAUUUUUCAUAUUUAUAUAAUUAUUUUUAAAAACAAUCAUUAAAAAAAUGAAGUGAAAACAACUGAAUGACUUUAUUUGAAAACAGUUACAGCAGGUAGCCUCCCAAUCAAAUUUGUCUUGCUGCAAAAGUACUAAUUCAGAUAUCUGUGUUCUCAAAGAGGAAGGCCUCAACAGUUCAUAACAAUUUCAUAAAAUUCUAAUUAAUCUCCAAAAAUGACCCAAGAAUUUGUUUUUUCUUUUGUCGUAUGAACUUCACAGAAUACAUUGCACAAUUCUCUACCAUUUCUUAAGGAUGGCAAAACUAGUGGUACAGAGACAUCAAGAAGCUUACACAGAAUCUCUCUUUUGAAUUCUAAUCAUCACCACUCUCUUCAUCAAUCUUCUGCCCAAAACCCCUUGGCCCAGCUCUAGCUCUCACCUUCCUCUUCUUCCCAUUCUUCUUCUUGGCUGACUCUUCUUUCUCAAACUUCUCCUUCUCCCUCUUCUGCAAGAAAUCUGACACAGCUAUGUAUAUAACCUGAAAAACCCCAAUCAUAAUUUCAGCCAAAAACUACAAGAACCCAUCAAUUCCGACCAAAAACAUGAGCAAAUUUCAGAAAUUUACUUUACCCCUAUAGUGAGAAUAGUGAGAGCAACAAAAGCAACGAAGAGAAGAGCCGAUAUAACGGUGGAGACACCCUCAUCACUAGUGGACACUAUCUGCUGGGAAUUCUCAAGUGGGGUCACCUCUGAAGGCAAAGCAUCUUCAGAUACAGCGGAUAUUCUCCAAAGUUGGGUGCUUUUCUGAGGAAUUGCAUGAGGCGGGUGGUGAAAAUUGAUGGUUUUCUUUCGAGGGGUAGUGGUUCGUAAGGCAAGAAGUGGGAUGAAUGGCAGAGAUGAAUUGUGGAUGUGAAGCGAAUUGGGAGGUUUUGAGUUGAAAAUGGAGGGGAAAGGCAGUGGAGAUAGAGAUCCACAUACAGAUGCAGAAGCCAUGGUUCACCUACUUCCACUUUCUCUCUCUCUCUCUCUAUCCCUGCUCAACUUGCAGAAGUGCUGACUCUAUAGAAGGGGAAUCUUAGGGUACUUUUUGAAUGUACAGUAAUUUCUGUAUAAGCUUGUGAUUAUUGAUUGCCAUAACCAUCAGAACCUCAUGAUGACCCCAUAAUAAAAUAAAAUAAAUUAAAAUAAAAAAACCUCUUUAUUUAAUCCUUUAACUCUAGGGGGUUGCAGGUUUAGUGAUUGUGCUCCACAAGAAUGUGACCAAGCCUAGAUGAGGCCCAUGACAGUUUUCAAAUGAGAACAACAGCCCAAGUCCUGGUAACAUGGCACCUUGCAACAUUAGAUUGGGCCUUUAAAGGCCCAAAAAUGAACAAAAUGUGUUCGGCUCCCUUCUCGGUAAGCGUUGAAAACGCACCAUCAAUUAAGUGACGUCACAUAUGCACUUUCAAUGUCUUGGUUUUGGUACCGUAUCUCAUUUCCUUAAUCUCAUUGAUACUAAAUGGUCGGAUAUUUUACUACCUUAAAUAAUUUAGUGUAUAUCUCGUAGCAGUGUAUGCCAGUUGGCUUUCAUGCCACUUGGUCCCUCCUCACAUGGCGCCUCUUCAUCAUUGGACCCUACUUACUAAAAAUUAUGCCCUUUAUUCUCCAUCGUCCCAUAUGCCAUGCCAACUACAAACACCCUAAAUCAAACAAAAUAUCAACAUAACCCCCACCCAAGCUUACAUGCUCAUGCCUAACUAAUGUAUAUUACUAACGAAAAAUGUCUUUUAAUAAAAAUUUGAAUGUUUAAUAAAAUUAAAAAAUAUAUUUAUUUUUAAAAUUUUAUUAAAAUGACAUAGAAUAGACAUAUAGAAAUUUUUGAAGACAGAUCGUUAUACCCGGAUAUCUUCAUUAAAAUCUAGAUUGUUAUAAAUGAAUAAAAAUAAUGAAAAAUCAUGUAAUCAUACAUCAACUAACAAAAAUAUGAUAUUUUAGAAUUUUGUUUUUUGUAUUUUAAUUUUAGUGUAAAAUGGAAAAAAAUAUUGUCUAUUUAUGCACUCCAAUAAUGCUUUCAAAUUCGUUCUAUAAUUACCCUCAAAAGUAAAAGACAAAGUACACAUCAAUUUAAUAUCAUAUUGACAAGUACAUGUAUAAUUUAUUUUUAUUAUUUCUCUUAUAUCAAUAUAUCUCACUUACCACUUACCUCCUUCUCCAUUUUUUUUCCUCUCUUCCCAUCAUAAUAUGUUGUCACCUAUUAUAGUUUUUAUUAUUAGUUUUCUCUUUUUCCUUUAUAUUCUUUUUAAUAUGCUCAUAUAUUUUCUCAUAAAACUUCUUUAAUUUUUUUAUUUUUUUACUCUCUAAUUUCUCCAUAUUUAUUGAUUUUAAUUAUUUUUUGACAUAUUAAAAUUAAAAUGAUAAUAUAUAAUAAAUAGUUAAUAUAACAAAUUAAAUAAAAAACAAAAAUAUAUAAUGAACAAAAAUGAAAAUAUUAUUCCACAAAUAACAUACUUGAUGAUUUUAAAUAUUAAUUAUAAUAAUACAUUUGAUAAAUUAGGGUUUAAAUUUAAAUAUUUUAUUUUAUUAUUUAGAGGUUUAUGAUAUAAGUUUUUUUAUAUUAAUACUAAACAAAAAAUUUAUUUAUUUGUAAAUUCUUUCACAUGUAAAAGUAAAAAUAUAUUUGUAAUACUAUUUUAUUAUUUACAUAAUUUUUCUUUUAAUUUUCAUUUUAAAUUUAUCAUAUCAAAAUCACAAUAAGUGAUGGUGUUUUUAUCAUUUUUCCUAUGAUUUUAAUUUGAUUAUGAAUCUAACAUUUUGUUUGGUUAAAAUCUUUAAUUUUUAACUAUAAAAUAUAAAAGAAAAUAUAAUUUUCAUAAAAAAAUUGAAUAUAACCUUUUAUAUUAAUUUCAUAAAAAAUAGGUACAUCCUUAAAAAAAAAAAAAAAAAAGAAGGUAAAUUCAUGCUUAGAGGAAUCAGAACCAUUAUCAUACUUAUCAUGGUGUAUAUUUUCCUUUGGAAUCCUCAACAAGUAAUUGGAAGUCCUCACCCAACCCAAAACGAACUUUGGAAUCCUAGGUAUAGCCAUUCUUAGAAGAACCAAGACCCUUAUCUCCAUUCUCAUGACUCAUAUAUAUCUUUAGGAACCUUCGAGAAGGAAUUGGAGGUUGUUUCCCACCCUAUAAUAGACAUUGGAACCCAAGAUACAUAUAAAGAUAAUUUGGUACAUUAUUUACAAAAUUUGGUACAUCUUUUACAAAAUUUAACACAUUCUUAAAACAAUUUGGUACAUCCAAUCCAUGAGCUACUAGGACCUCUAUAUUUAUUAUCCAUGGCUCAUUUAUUUCUUUAAAGAUCUUUAGAGGUUGUUCUUUACUUUGAAAUGAACUUUUGAACUCAAGGUACAUCCUUAAGGAAAGUUGGUACAUCGUUAAGAAAUUUUGGUACAUCUAAUCCUUGGGCUAUCGAGAUCUCUAUCUAUCUUCCCAUGGUCCAAUUAUCCUUUAAGGACCCUCAAGUAGCAAUUGAAGGUCAUUCCCCACCUCGGAACAAACUUUGGCACUCUUGUUACAUUUUUUACAAAAUUUGAUAUAUCAUUUACAAAAUUUGGUACAUCAUUCACAAAAUUUGAUGCAUCCUUAAAAAUAUUUGGCACAUCCAAUCCUUGAACUAUCGAAACCUCUAUUUAAUUACUCAUGAUUCGUUUAUUCCCUUAGGGAUCUUUGGAAAGUGAUUGGAGGUUAUUUGCUACUUCGAAACGAACUUUGGAACCUUAGGUACAUCCUUGAGAAAAUUUGAUACAUCCAAUCCUUGAGCUAAUGAGACACCUAUCUCAUUUUCCAUGGUCCAUUUCUUCAUUUGGAGACCCUCAAGAAGUGAUUGGAGGUAGUUCCUCACCUCGGAAAGCACUUUGGCAACUUUGGUACAUCCUCCACAAAAUUUGGUACAUCCUUAAAAAAAUUUGAUACAUCCAAUCCUUGAGCUACCGAGACCUCUAUCUUAUUACCCAUGGUCUGUUUAUUCCUUUAAGGAUCUUUGGAAAGUGAUUGGAAGUCAUUCCCUACUUUGAAACAAACUUUGCAGCCCUAGGUACAUCCUUAAGAAAAUUUGAUACAUCUAGUCCUUAAACUAUCGAGACACCUAUUUUCCAUCACAAGGCCCAUUUAUUUAUCUGGACAACCUUAGGAAGUGAUUGGAGGUAGUUCCCUACUUCAGAACAGACUUUGACCCUCUUGGUACAUCCUUUAUAAAAUUUGGUACAUCUUUCACAAAAUUUGUUAUAUCCUUAAAAAUAUUUGGUACAUCCAAUUCUUGAGUUAAUGACACCCCUAUCUUAUUACCCAUAGUCUGUUUAUUCUUUUAGCGAUUUUUGGAAAGUGAUUGGAGGUUGUUCCCUAUUUCGAAACGGACUUUGGAACCCCAAGUACAUCCUUGAGAAAAUUUGAUACAACCAAUCCUUAAGCUAACGAGACACCUAUCUCCCUUUCCAUGGUCUAUUUCUUCAUUUGGAGACCCUUGGGAAGUGAUUGGUGGUCAUUCCCCACCUCAAAAUGGACUUUGGCACCCUUCAUACAUCACUUUCAAAAUUUGGUACAUUCAAUCUUAAACUACUGGAACCCUUAUCUUAUUACCCAUGGUUCGUUCAUUCCUUUAGGGAUAUUUGAAAAGUGAUUGGAGGUCGUCCCCUACUCCAAAAUAUACUUUGGAACCCUAUGUACAUCCUUAAGAAAAUUUGAUACAUCCAAUCUUUGAGCUAACAGGACACCUGUCUUCCUUCCUACGGUUCAUUUAUCCAUUUGGAUAGCCUUAGGAAGUGAUUGGAGGUUGUUCCCCACUUUAGAACGGACUUUGGCCCCCUUGAUACAUUCUUUACAAAAUUUGGUACACCCUUUAUAGAAUUUGAAACAUCUUUCAUAAAAUUUGGUAUAUUCUUAAAAAAAUUUGAUACAUCUAAUCUUUGAGCUACUGGAACCCCUAUCUUAUUACCCAUGCUACGUUUAUUCCUUAGGGAUCUUUGGAAAGUGAUUGGAGGUCUUUCCCUACUCCGAAACAUACUUUGGAACCCUAGGUACAUCCUUGAGAAAAUUUGAUACAUUCAAUCCUUGAGCCCACAAGACACCUAUCUCCAUUUCCAUGGUCUAUUUCUUCAUUUGAAGACCCUCAGGAAGUGAUUGGAGGCCAUUCACCACCUCGGAACGGACUUUGGAACCCUUCAUAUAUAUUUUUCAAAAUUUGGUAUAUCCUUCACAAAAUUUGAUACAUCCUUAAAAAAAUUUGGUACAUACAAUCCUUGAGCUAUCGAGACCCUUAUCUUAUUACCCAUGAUCCGUUCAUUCCUUUAGGGAUCUUUGGAAAAUGAUUGGAGGUCGUCCUCUACUCCAAAAUACUCCAAAAUAGACUUUGGAACCCGAGAUACAUCCUUAAGAAAAUUUGAUACAUCCAAUCUUUGAGCUAAUGAGAUACCUAUCUUCCUUCCUUCUCAUGGUCCAUUUAUCCAUUUGGAUAGACUAAGAAAAUGAUUGGAGGUCAUUCCCCAUUUCAAAACGGACUUUGGCCUUUUUGGUACAUCAUUUAUAAAAUUUGGUACAUCCUUAAAAAAAUUUGAUACAACCGAUCUUUGAGCUAUCGAGACCCCUAUCUUAUUUCUCAUGCUCCGUUUAUUCCUUUAGGGAUCUUUGAAAAGUGAUUGAAGGUUGUUUCCUACUCCGAAAUGGACUUUGGAACCCUAUGUACAUCCUUAAGAAAUUUAAUACAUCCAAUCCUUGAGUUAACGAGACACCUAUCUCCCUUUUCAUGGUCCAUUUCUUCAUUUGAAGACCCUCAAGAAGUGUGAUUAGAGGUCAUUCCCUACUUCAGAAUGGACUUUGGCACUUUUGAUACAUCCUUUACAAAAUUUGGUACAUUCAUAAAAAAAUUUAGUACAUCUAAUCCUUGAGCUACUAAGACUCUUAUCUUAUUACCCAUGGAUCAUUUAUUUCUUUAGGGAUCUUUGGAAAGUAAUUGGAUAUCGUUCCUUACUCUGAAACAAAUUUUAGAACCCUACGUACAUUUUUAAAAAAAUUUGGUACAUCCAAUCAUUGAGCUAACGAGACACAUAUUUUUUCCCAUCGUGCAUUUAUUCAUUUGGACAACCUUAGGAAGUGAUUGGAGGUCGCUUCCCACUUUAAAACGAACUUUGACCCCCUUGGCACAUCCUGUACAAAAUUUGGUACAUUCUUUAUAAAAUUUGGUACAUCCUUUUGUAGACUCUCAAUUUUGUCCAUUGACACUUGCAUGUAUCUUGGGGGUGUCGCCCGCACCCGACCUUUGUAUGUCACGACCAUGGGGCCCUUGUUGGGCUUAAUCGGUUUUCAGACCUCACUUGAGUUCACCUAUUGUUCAAUUUAGUGCAAGCGAUUGGUUCAUUAUGAAAUGAUAUCAUGGUCAAUUCUUUGGUUUGUAUCAUACUACAGGUUAAAGGUUAAGGUCUCCACACAAACUUCAGUUCAAUUGGAGCUUGUUGAAGCCUGUCCAAAUCUUGAGCACUCUGGCUUGUUUUAGUCAUUUCUCCCUCAUCCGAGCUUGGAAUUGCGCACCAUUUUUUUUUUGUUGGAUUCCCUAUUCUUCGACAAACAUUUAUCAAAAUUUGAGAAUUUUUCUCAACUGGAAUGACCGGUUUGUUUUGGCAUUCUUGGCACCUUAGGCCCAUUUAGAUACACCUGACCCGGUAGGUACACUCCUAGGACACUUAUACACAUGUCCUUAAUUUAAUUCCCACCUAAUUCACCUUGGCACUUGCCACUUAGGUCACCUAGGUAAUUUAGAUGUUUUUUUGGGCUUAAUUCCCUAAAACUAAUUUUUUAAUUGAUUUAUUUUUUAGAUUAGGAGAGUAUUUAACGAGAUUUUUUUUGUUUGGAUUGCUUGAGAUGAAUUUUCAAUAUUAAUUGUGUCAAUUUGAUAUUUUGCUUUUUUUAUUUUUUUUAUUUGUGUAUUAGUUUAAUAUUUAGAUUAUUGUUACGUGCAUGUGAUAUUUAUUUCUUUUUCCUGCUUUAUUUAUUUAUUCAUUUACGUAUUUAUUUUCAGAAAAAUGUAGGUGAUUAGGAAUCUUGCAUUAUUAUUAGUUAUUAUUAUUAUUAUUAUUAUUAUUACUAUGUACUUACUGUAUGUUUGGUUUUUAUUAUUACACUUUUCUUAUUUUAUUUUUCAUUUUUUUAUAUAGGUUUGUUUACCUUUAUUUUAUUUUUAUUCUUUUAGUUUAUUAAAAAAAAGAAAAAAAAAUGGGGAACCAGUGGACAGCAUGGGAGGAGGGAGAGAGAGAGAGGUUGGAUUUUUUGCUGAAAAUUAAAAGGCUUUGAUGGGAAAAAAAAAGGGUAGAUUACAAGAAAUGGAAAAAGGGGAGCUGGGUGAGAAUCUUAUUAGAGAAUAAAAGGGAAAUCAAAAGGAAAAAUUUGAGAGGGAGGUUACCAAUGAGCUGCAUGGAGAAGAGACAUGGGCCAUUUUCAAGAGGGAAUGAAGAGGUUUUCAAGAGAGUGAAAUAAAAAUGAGGCUUAGGAGAUAAGAAAAGGGAGUUUGAGAAGAGAAGUUAGGAAGGUUUUGAAGAGGAACAGAUUCGGGGAGGUGAAGAAAAGAGAAAGAGAACAAAGAACAAAGAGAGAAAAGAACGUUUCAGAGAGUAAGAGAGGAGAUUGGAAAUAAAAAGAAAAAAAAUAGAGAAGAUGGGAGAAUUUUAGUUAGUUCUUGGGACUUGGAGAAAGAGAACUUACCGGUCUUUGAAGAAUGAAAUAGGUGUUCUCAGGUAUGAUCACUGUAACUCUUACAUUCAUUUCCGUUUAUGAAUUCUAUUGAUUAUAGACUGAUGUUGGAUUUGGAAUUGUUUUAUUUUAUAUCAUGCUCUUGGGAUUUCAGUUGAGAAUUGAUGUCCACUUUUAUAUUGAAAAUGGUUCGUUUAUCUGUUUUCUCUUGCGAUCAUGCUCUAUUUUAGGAUUUUUUUUUUUUUUUUUCGUUUCUAUUGAAUAUACGAUCCUUUUGUGGUUUUGUUGGGAUCCUUGCCCAGGUUGAGUCACUACCCGACGUCUGUCAGUUCAAUAGCUUUUCCAAGUAUUUAACCUACUGUUGGAUCAAGCUGGGUGUAUGGGUUAACACUGAGGGUCUCCAAAAAGCCCGCGGCCUGCUUUAGGCCUGGCCUGGCCCAAGCCCGCUCUGCCCGAGCCCGUUUCUGGGCGGGCCGACCCGGCCCGUAGGCCCGCCUCUUUAAAAAAAAACUACAAAAAUAAAAAGUAUUAAAAAAAAUAUUCAUUUCAAAAUUUUAUUCAUUGAAUGUAUAAUUACAUUUGAAAAUGUGGGAAAAGUUUACAUCACUACAAAAUAAAUACAUUCCAACUAGGUUGGCACCUAUUUAUUUGUCAAUCAUCUGUAUUUUUCAACCACAAAAAAUAAAAAUAAAAAUAUAAUAUACAUUUAGUCAUUAUUUUCUGGCGGUGAUGGCGAACUAUCAUGCAUCCAUGAAGAUCUUGAUAAUUUUAAAGAUUCCAAAUCGGCAAGCAUCUCUGUUUCUCGAAUGGAAUCGUACAUCCUUUUAUUUGCUAUUUCCCAAUCUUUCACACAUAUCCCUACUUCAAUAACAUCUAGCGCUAAGUUGCAUCGUUUUUUACUAACUACUCUUCCACAUGCACUAAAAGCAGCUUCUGAUGCAACUGUACUCACAGGAACUGUUAGUACAUCACGAGCAAUUAUAGAAAGCACAGGAUAUUUGUAUUGAUGUGAUUUCCACCAUAUUAAAAUAUCAAAAUCUUCUUGAUUUUCAAAUGAAAUUAUAUCAGUAUUAAGAUAUUUAUCUAAAUCAGAUGUAUUAUUUGGAGAACUAUUUGUUGUCUUUUUUUGACUUUUCAACAUUUCUAGAGCUCCUUUAUAAAAAGAUGAGGAGUUUGUAGAUGUAAGUGGUAAUUUAAUAGUUUUAAUAUCAUUACCAUAUUUUUCUUUAUAAUAGUUAUAUAAAUUAUAUAAUAAUGAAUUUAUUUUAUUUUUAAUUUCUUCAAUUUUUAUUUGGUCAUUAAAAUAAAUAAUUGUUAACCAUUCAUCUAAAGCUUCAAAUUUCAAUCUAGGGUCCACAAUUAAAGCAAUAUAAAAAAUUAAAGGUAUUUCUCCCCAAUAUUUUCUAAAUUUUUCUAUCAUUGCAAAUAUUGUAUCAUUAAAUAUUUCAAAACUUAAAUAUUUUUUAAGUACAAUAAAAAUAUUAGUAAUUUGCAUAAUAACUCGAUUUGAAGUUGGAUAAUAUACACCACAAAAAAUGUUUGUUGAAGUAUCAAAAAUUUCAAAAAGAUCUCUUAAAAGAUCCACAAUAUGCCAAUCAUAAUCAUUUAAUGCAUAAAUAUCUGCUUCACAAUCAUUGUUAAUUAAUUGUAUUUCAUAUAAUUCGACUCCUUUUCUAUAUUUUGUAAUAUUUUGUAAAAGUUUAUAUGUGGAAUUCCAUCUAAUGGCCAUAUCCAAAUUUAUAUUUUUUCUUUUCAUAUUUAACAUUUUGCAACAAUAAAAAAAUAAAUCAUGUUUUGCUUGAGAACUAUUAAUACUAUAUGCAAUGCCUCUAAUUUUUUCUAAUGUACUAUCAACAUUUUUUAAUCCAUCCUUUACAAUUAAAUUUAAAAUAUGUGCACAACAACGCACAUGAAAUAUUUUAGCAUGAUCUUCUUUUACUUGCCAAUAUUGUUUUAGUCUAUGUAUUGCUGCAUCAUUAUUAGCAACAUUAUCUAAUGUUAUUAUCAAUAUUUUAUCACGAAUGCCUAAAUCUAUAAUUUCAUCAUUUAUUAAAGAUGCUAUAUUUUUACCACUAUGUAGAGCAUUUAUUAAUUUAAAUGAAAUUAUUCUUUUAUUUAAUUUCCAUUCAUUAUCAAUGUAGUGAGCAGUUAUACAUAAAAAACCAGUGUGAAUUAAAGAUGUCCAAAUAUCAGAUGUUAAACAAAUAUUUCCUUCAAAAUUUGCAAAAAAAAUUUUUAAAAUUUCUUUUUGUGUAUAAAUUUUUUUUUCAUAAUAUCUAUUUUAACUGUAUUUCCAGACCAACCUUUAAAUUGAGGAUUAAUACCUCGUUGAAUUGUUCCUGCAAAAUCAUGAGUUUCCAUCAUGUUGAAAGGUUGUUCUGCUCUUAUUAUAUAAUCAAUCAUUUCUUCACGACAGUUAGAUUCAUCAUAAGAAAAUGUUUUUAAAUUUCCACUUUCAUUUUUACCUUAUUGCAUAUAAUUUUAAUAUCUACAUUAUUUUUAGUUUUACAAUUUUCAUGAUGUCUUUUUAAAUGACUUGUGCCUGCAUUUGAGCCACCAGUAAGAAAUUUAUUACAAAUUUUACAUUUUGCUUUUAUUUCUUUUUUAUUAUUUUAUAAAAUUAUUUCUAUUCUAUCAAAAAAAUUCCAUAUAUUUGAAGUAAUUUUUUUGUUUGAUGAUAUUUUAUCACAUGGACUAGAUGAAGAAGCACUUGUCAUAUUAUAAUUAUUGAUAAAAUAUUAUGCCAAAAAUAAUAAAGUAAUAAAUAUAAAAAAAAUGUAACAAAAAAAUAAGUAGUAGGGGUAAAGUAUGUUACUCAAUUAGAGAACCGAUGCAGAAAUUCCUAGCAAAUUUGAACUUUUGGAGCCACCGAUGCUUGUUUUGCACCACCAAUAAUAUUAUAUAAUUUGAGGGAAAAAUAAAAAAAUUUGAAAUAUUGUAGAAUGUGAGAGAAAUAGAGAGAAUUUGAUGAAAAAAAUGAAAAGGAAGAAAAUGUAUUUAUAGGAAGGUUAAAAAAAAAUUCAAAAUUCAAAAUAAUUGGUCAUGUGACUGUUGGAGGCUUAGCUCCAACGGUCACAUGGGCUGGAGCUAGGCUCCAACGAUCACAUGACCGUUGGAGCCUUUAAUUUUUUUUUAAAAAAAUAAUAUACUUUAUUUUUAUAUAUAUAUAUAUAUAACUAACUCAAUUAAUAAACAUAAAAAGAAUGUAGUUUAGUUGGUUAGAAGCUUAAAGUUUAAACAUGAGGAGAGGGGUUCGAAUCCCUCACUCUCCCUUCCCUUGGCUUUUUUGAAAGCUAUUUUGGCUUAAUUCAAAAAGCCCGUCGGCCAGUCCGCCAGCCCACGGGCUCAUAGGUCGGGCCCGCGGCCUAGCAUUUUAGCAUGACCCAGCCAGAGCUGGGCCGCGGGCCUCCUAUUUACGGCCCAACCUGGCCCGACCCGCCCGUUGGAGACCCCUGGUUAACACCAUUAUAUCUCUCAGCACCUACCUAUACCGCCAAUUGUGUCCUUAGUGUGAUGGGUCUUUCUUCUUGUCUAAGUGCACCCCAGUGCACUCACUAUGCACAACGUGGAAUGUGCAAGUUUGGGCUCACAUGCAAAUUUGAUCACUUAGAAACACAGAGUUAUUGUCCAUUCGUACCAUCUCUAGCUGAUAUGCCAGUUGCUCUCUGUCCUGUGGAAUCUUCUAUGGGUACACUUACACCCUCAUCUUCAUCUUCAGAUUUGAGGCUAGAAUUUAUCUCAGGAUCUAGCAAGGAAUUUCCUUCAACCAGAAUGUCCUCUCUUACGAGCAAACCUAGCGGUUCAGUUGGAUCAUUUCUUAAAAAAAUAAUGGGCCUGAUCAUUCUAGUAUCCAACAGCCUGGUUUAGUUGCGUUCUGGCUAUUAUAGUUUGUUCCUUUGUCACCACCCGAGACCGUCACUCCACCGGUGGCUGCGGUGGCUCCCAUUGUUGCCAUGGCAUAGGUGGCAUUCCUUCGCCUCAACCAGAGCUCUCUUCUACCACACACCCAGUUCACCUGCAUUCCGGAGCUAUUGCGGCUUGUUCCUUUGACCUGGGUUGCAGCCUCGCCGAUAGCUGUGGUAGCUUUCUUUACCGCCAUGGCAUGGACGAUGCCCCCCUUUGGUCCUCCUUACCGGAACAAUCCUAGGUUUGGGGUAGAUUUUUUCCUAGGACGAAAGUCUCGCCGAUGGUGGCAAUAUGACCAUCUUCCAUGCGUCACAUGCAGGAGCAUGUUUAGUCCAUUUGUUUGGCCCCUCUGUCAAAGUUAAAAAAAAAAAAAAAAAAAACUUAUAAACUCAUUUACUUUAUUCAUUCUUCUUCAUUUUUUAUUCUCAAAUAACAUUUUUACAAUCCUUUUUUUUUUUUUUAAUUUUUUUAUUCAAUCUUUAAAUUUCAAUCUUCAAAUAGAUUUUUUUUUUUUUUUUAAACUGAAUUUUUAAUAUGCAACCUUUAAAUUUCAUAUUUAAAUUCCAAAAGUCAAAAUUCCAAAAUUUCAUUUUUUUAAUACCAUUAUCAAAGUUUAUUUUCCAAAAUUCUCAAAAUUCUAAAAUUCCAAAGUUUCAUUUUAAAUAUUAUCUUCGAAGUUUUAUUUUCAAAAUUCCCAAGUUUCCAAAAUUCAGAAUUUAUUCUUUAACUUUCCAUUUCCAAAAUUCCUGAAUUUCCAAAUUUAAUUCUUUAAGUUUUGGCUACCAAAUUUUCCAAAACUCCACAACUCUUAAAAUUCCAAGGUUUCCAAAAUGCUCAAAAUUCCGGAUUUAAUUUUUUAAAGUUUCCGUUCCCAAAAUUUCCAAAAUUCUCAAAAUUCUGGAUUUUAUUUUUUUUAAGCUUCCAUUUCCAAAAUUCUCAAAAUUCCGGAUUUAAUUUUUUUAAGUUUCCAUUUCCAAAGUUCCCAAAAUUUCAAAAUUCCGGAUUUAAUUUUUUACGUUUCCAUUCCCAAAGUUUCCAAAAUUCCCAAAAUUCUGGAUUUAACUUUUUUAGUUUCCGUUCCCAAAGUUUCCAAAAUUUCGAAAACUCCGGAUUUAAUUCUUUAAGUUUCCAUGUAUGCGACUUUCAUGAAUUUGGUGGCCUUUAAUUGAUCAAAUUCAUUUGAUUUUUUUUUAAUGGAAAAUUAUGGAAUUUGUGGCUAUUAGUGGAUGAAAAUUCAAGCGAAAAGGGUGUUAAAUUGCCAGCUGGAAAUUAAUAGAAUUGGAGUAGCUAAAUGUUAGCCACGUAAUAAAGUUUCACAACUGCACUUUGGUGGCCACCGGGUAGGGACUAGAGGUUACAUAUAUAGGGUUGGCCAUGGCUGAAAAUUUUAGUAGAUUUGGGGAUUGCAAAUGUUGUGUGCUUGUGCUUAUUGAUUUACCAUUUUCCGCAACAUAUGGCUAGGGACCUCAAGUACAUAUCAUUAUUCUGAUUGUUGAUUUCCUAUGAAUGCCGAAUACCAGCUAGAAUUAUAUGAGUCUUGUCAUCUAUGUAGCUCGGGGGGAAUUGACUGAUCUUUGACCCAUAUGCUCCAAUGUAUCCAAUUCACUAGUAGAGACCGGAUCUUGGGCCUAGAAAGGUGCUACCUCGCAUGAGGUACCUUCCUAAUAGGUAACCUGAUCUCCGGACCCAGAAAUCUAGUUUUGUGGAUUGUUUUUUCCUAACUGGAGUCAUUGAGGGGUUUUUGUUCUUACUUAAUUUUCCCCAUUUUAAAAAUAAAAAUAAAAAGUAAGUGGUGACUCCAAACAAAAACCGUUCCUCAUCCGGGAUGAAUUUCCCAAAACUCGAAAACCGUUUUUUUCACACAUUUAUUAUUUUCAAUGGCGAGUUGCACUGGUCGAUGGACCGAGGGAGGGUCCACACCUUCGUAAAUUUUGGUACAUCCUUAAAAAAAAUUGGCACAUCCAAUCCAUGAGCUACCGGGACCUCUAUAUUAUUUUCCAUGGUUCAUUUAUUUCUUUAGGGAUCUUUGGUAAGUCAUUAGAGGUCAUUCUCUACUCCGAAAAGAACUUUGAAACCCUAAGUACAUCCUUGAGAAAAUUUGAUACAUCCAAUCCUUGAGCUAACGGAACCCCUAUCUUCCUUCCCAUAGUCUAUUUAUUCAUUUGAACACUCUCAAGAAGUGAUUGGAGGUCGGUCCCCAUUUCAGAACGGACUUUGGCUCCCUUGGUAUACCAUUUAUAAAAUUUGGUAAAUCAUUUACAAAAUUUGGUACAUCCUUAAAAAAAAAAAUUGGUACAUCCAAUCCUUAAGCUAUCAUGACCCUUAUCUUAUUACCCAUGGUCCGUUUAUUCUUGUAGGGAUCUUUGGGAAGUAAUUAGAUGUACCAAAUUUUCUUAAGAAUGUACCUAGGGUUCCAAAGCUCAUUUCAGAAUAGAGAAUGACCUCCAAUCACAUCCCAAAUAUCACUAAAGAAAUAAACGAACCACGGGUAAUAAGAUAAGGGUCUUAGUAGAUCAAGGAUUGGAUGUACCAAAUUUUUUUAAGGAUUUACAAAAUUUAUUAAAUUAUGUACCAAAUUUUGUAAAAGAUGUACCAAGGAGGCCAAAGUCCGUUAUGAAGUAAGGAAUGACCUCUAAUCACUUCCUAAGGUUGUCCAAAGGAAUAAAUGGACGAUAGGAAGGAAGAUAGAUGUCCCGUUAGCUCAAGGAUUGGAUAUAUCAAAUUUUCUUAAGGAUAUACCUAAAGUUCCAAAGUCUAUUUCGGAGUAGAGAACGACCUCCAAUCAAUUUUCAAAGAUCCCUAAAGGAAUGAACUAACCAUGGGUAAUAAGCUAGGGGCCUUGGUGCCUUAAGGAUUGGAUAUACCAAUUUUUUUUAAGGAUAUACCAAAUUUUGUGAAGGAUGUACUAAAUUUUGUAAAGAAUGUACCAAAUUUUGUAAAGUAUAUACCAAGGUUGCCAAAGUCCUUUCUAAGGUGGGGAACGACCUCCGAUCACUUCCCAAGGAUCUCCAAAAGAAGAAAUGGAUUAUAGGAAUGGACACAGGUGUCCAAUUAGCGCAAUGAUUGGAUGUAUCAAAAUUUUUAAAGGAUGUACCUAGGGUUUUAAAGUCCAUUUCGAAGUAGGAAACAACCUUCAAUCAAUUUUCAAAGAUCCCUAAAAAAAUAAAUGAACUAUGGGUAAGAAGAUAAAGGUUUUGGUAGCUUAAUAAUUGGAUGUACCAAAUUUUGUAAAGGGUGUACCAAAGGUGCCAAAGUUCGUUCCGAGGUGGGGAACAACCUCCAAUCAUUUUCCGAGGGUCUCCAAAUGCAGAAAUGGACCAUGAGAAGGGAGAUAGGUGUCAUGUUAGCUCAAGGAUUGGAUGUAUCAAAUUUCUCAAGGAUAUACCUAGGGUUCCAAAGUCUAUUUUGGAGUAGGGAAUCACCUCCAAUCAGUUCCCAAAGAUCCCCAAAGGAAUAAAUGAACCAUGGGUAAUAAGAUAGGGGCCCUAGUAGCUCAACAAUUGGAUGUACCAAAUUUAAAAAUGUAUCAAAUUUUUUCAAAGAUGUACCAAAAUUUGUAAAUGAUGUACCAAGGGUGCUAAGCUCCAUUUUGAGGUGGAGAACAACCUCCAUUCACUUCUCGAUGGUCUCCAAAGGAAGAAAUGAACCAUAAGAAGGGAGAUAGGUGUCCAAUUAGCUUAAUGAUUGAAUGUAUCAAAUUUUCUCAAUGAUGUACUUAAGGUUCCAAGGUCCGUUUUAGAGUAGGGAAUGACCUCAAAUCACUUUCCAAAUAUCCAUAAAGGAAUAAACGAACAAUAGGUAAUAAGAUAAGGGUUCUAGUAGUUCAAGGAUUGGAUGUACCAAAUUUUUUUAAGGAUGUACCAAAUUUUGUGAAGAAUGUACCGAAUUUUGUAAAUGAUGUACCAAGGGUGCCAAAGUCCAUUCCGAGGUGGGGAAUAACCUCCAAUCACUUCCCGAGGGUCUCCAAAGGAAGAAAUGGAGCAUGGAAAGAGAGAUAUAUGUCCCGUUAGCUCAAUGAUUGGAUGUAUCAAAUUUUGUUAUGGAUGUGCCUAGGGUUCCAAAGUCCGUUUCAGAGUAGGGAACAACCUUCAAUUAUUUUCCAAAGAUCCCUAAAGGAAUAAACAAACCAUGGGUAAUAAGAUAGGGGUCCCGGUUAGGAAUGGCAAUUUCGCGGGUUUUCCAGGUCACCCGCCCCUAUUGGGAUGGGUAUAGGAACAUGGCAAUUGGGGAUGGGUCGGGUUCAUGUUUUUUUUUAAAAACCCGAAUUGGGUUCGAGGCGGGGUCGGGUGUAGUUAUAAUUUGACCCGCCCCGCCUCGCCCCGAAUAUGAAAUUACAACUUUGCCCCCCACUUAUAAAUAUUAGCUUCCUCUCCUCAUUUCAGAUCUUCUUCUCUCAGUUCUCGUUCCUGUCGACGCUAGGGUUUUUCCUCCCACUUAAUGCAAAAAUCCAUCAGAUAAUCCAUUCGAAAAUCCAUCAGAUAUUUGCCUCUUCGUAUUCACCAUAUUUGUGGCCUACCAUCCUGGGGUUUUGUGGAGCCAUUUGGACAAUUUCUUUAUUGGGUUUCAUCUCAAGGACUACACUAUUUUGGAGGCAUCGAGGGAUUAUAAGAGGUUGGUGUAUGAGUUUUCAAAGAUGGGUUGUUUGAGAAAAAGGGGCAUGGGGUGUUCGUCAUGCUCUGUGCGAUGGCGAUGAUGUUCUCCGCCUAUAUUUAUGGGGUUCUAGGGUGUGACAGCACAUGGGUUCAUAUCGCUAGUGGCGUGUUGAUGGGCCUUUUCUGGAUUCAGAGUGGGUGGAUUGGGCACGAUUCUGGGCACUACCAGUGAUGAUGAAUAGGCGUUUGAAGUUUGAACCGCUUUGUGCAGGUGCUGAGUCGGAAUUGUUUUGCGGAAUUGGAAGAUGCUGCUGAUGGUCCCGGCGGCAUGGGCCAGCACCCGACCCCACCUCGAGAGGUACGGGGAUGGGAUCCCAUUAACCCACCCCGCCUCGGGUAUGGGACGGGGAUGGGAAAUAGAUUUAUAUAAUUGGGACGGGAAUGAGGUAGGGGUGGCCCUGCCCAAACCCGCCCCGUUGCCAAUCCUAGUCCCGGUAGCUCAAGGAUUGAGUGUAACAAUUUUUUUUUCUUUUUUUUUAAGGAUAUACCAAAUUUUAUAAAAAAAAAAUGUACCAAAUUUUGUAAAUGAUGUACCAAGGAGGUCAAAGUUCGUUUCGAAGUAGGGAAUGACCUCUAAUCACUUUCCAUGGUUGUCCAAAUGAAUAAAUGGACCAUGGGAAGGAAGAUAUUUGUUAUAUUAACUAUUUGUUAUAUAUUAUCAUUUUAAGUUUAAUAUGUCCAAAAAAAAAAUUAAAAUCAAUAAAUAUGGAGAAAUUAGAGAGUAAAAAAAAAAUUAAAAUUAAAGAAGUUUUAUGAGAAAUUACAUGAGCAUAUUAAAAAAAUAUAUAAAGGAAAAAGAGAAAAAUAGUAAUAAAAACUAUAAUAUGUGACUAUGGAUUACAGUGGACAAAGAGGCAAAAAAAAAAACAUUGUGAUUAUAAUAAAUGAUAAGUAAGAGAUAUUGAUGUGAGAGAAAUAAUAAAAACAAAUGAUGUAUAUACUUGAUAUUAAAUUGGUAUAUAUUUUGUAUUUUUUAAUCUUUGAGGAUAAUUGUGAAAUGAAUUUGAAAUCACUAUUGAAACGCAUGGUAAUAUUUUUUAUUUAUUUUACAUUAAAAUUAAAAAGCAAAAAGUAAAAUUCAAUGAUCUCAUAGUUUUUUAGUUAAUAUACGGUUGCAUGAUUUAGGAUUAUGCUACGUGGAUAUAAAUAUAAUCCAUGUCAUCAAUGCCGCCGGACCGGCUUCAAUGGUACUAUCGAAAAGUGCGGUUCAGUACAGUAGUGGGACCCAUGGACCCUGAAAAUAACACAUAUAUUAUGCGAUGUGAUACAAUUUUAUGGGUUUGAGAGGAAGGUGAAAAAAUGCCACGUGGGCAAAACAUUGCUACUUGGAAUGAGAAUAGCGAGCCGGGCCACGUGAGAUUUGGCGGUGUUGUCAGGACCAGACCUGAUGAGAUUAUUUCGGGAUGUCCACCGUGGGAUGUGUUGUUGUGGGGAAUUGUGUAAGGAUCCAACGGCAGAGGCAUUAGGCAGAGGUACUGCUUUGUUGUGCAGCCAUAGAUCGACACGUUUCACUGAACCAGCUGUUCACCAACACUCUCACUUCCUAUUGGCUGGACGGGAUGCCUUUAGACCCUUUCACAAGGGCAAAGGGCGGUGCACCAAUACUGGCUCUCCCAAAAUUACCUUAAUACCCUCUAGUGGGGCCCACUCAUCCACUCACACCUACUCCCCGGUACCCAAUUUCAAAGCAACUUCUGGUGGCACGACCCUCUAAUUAUUUACUUAUUUUAAUGUUUAAUUAAAAAAAAUUAAUUAAUUUAAAUUUAAAAAUGACUGGUGAAAAGAAUUUUUAAAAAUAAAGUAACCUUAAAUUAAUUAUUUUAAAUUUUAUAAAUAAAUAUAAAUUAUUAAAAUGGGGGUUUUAGUUUAUUUUUUGGGGUGGGAGAUUAAAAGUUGUAAAAAUGCAUGGAGUAGGGGUGUUAGGAUGGCAACAGGUGGAGAGACAAGGAGGCGAGUAACUAGUGUAGUGUAGACGAGGGAUUCGACCAAUGAUGAUAGCAAGAUAGAUAUUUAGAGGAUCAAAAAUAUCUGGCUAAGUCGUCCACGUUGGCACCUGGACAGGACCGAUCUGGAAUCAGAUAUUGCACUUUUUCUCUUCUUUUCCUCUCUAAAGGGAAAUUGAAAAUUAUUUUCCUUUUCUUUUUCUCCUUUUCCAAACAGCCUUCGAAUCUUACGAAAUAUCUAAAACAAAAGCCUCCUCCACAUUCAACCCUCCUAACAAUCUCCGUGAUGCAAAACCUAAUUCCCUAAUUCGGAUCAUAAUAUAUCUGUGUUCAUGAUUGACCUGGGAAAGCCCUAGCUCAGUUCAACCAAUUCGAUGGGCGAAGAAGUGAGGAUGAGUGAUAUUAACGGAGGUGAUGGCGGCGAUGACGAGCGAGUGCUCGAGUGGGAGGCGGGGCUGCCCGCUGCCGAUGAUCUGACUCCCCUAUCUCAGCCGUUGAUCCCUCCGGAGCUGGCGUCGGCGUUCAGCAUAACGCCGGAGCCGUGCCGUACGCUGCUGGAGGUGAAUCGUGCGUCGCAGAGUACGUUUUCGACCAUUCGAGGGCAGUCUCAUUCGUUCUCGUCGAACAAUUUCAAGUCUUUCAACGAGGAGCGAAACCGCGAGCCAGCGGUGGUGGAGCCGGAGGAGACCGGGGAUAGGGACGGGUCCGGGUCUGAGUCAAGGAAGGUGAGGAAAGUCGAUUGCGCCGAGGAGGCCGAUUCAGCGAUGAGGACGGAGAAUUCGAACGAUGAUCCCUCUGCUCGGACGCUGAAACGACCCCGUUUGGUUUGGACUCCGCAGCUCCACAAGCGAUUCGUGGAUGUGGUGGGGCAUCUGGGCAUCAAGAACGCGGUUCCGAAGACGAUUAUGCAAUUGAUGAACGUAGAGGGCUUGACUCGGGAGAACGUCGCCAGUCAUCUACAGAAGUAUCGACUUUACCUGAAACGGAUGCAGGGGCUGUCUAACGAGGGUCCAUCUUCGUCCGACCAUCUUUUCGCGUCCACGCCGGUGCCGCAGAGCUUGCACGAGUCUGGCGGAAGUGUGCAUGGGAACGGUCAUGGAAAUGGUCACAUGUCUGUUCCAAUUCCCAUGCCUUAUGGGCAGACGAUGAUGCACAUGCCCGUUCUUGGAGUGUCACAUGGCCAUGGCCAAAUGGGAAUGUCAGGUCCAGGUGGAUAUCAUGGCUACGAGUCUCAUCAUCCUUAUAAUAUGUUGCAGCAGAGAGAUUGGUCAGUUGUGUCGUACCCAAAUGUCGGUCCUAAUGAUCAAUAAGAUGAUACCCGAGGUGGCUUUCUUGAUCUUAUUAAAUUCUGUAUGCUCUGUUGUUAUUCUUUCUGAUGUUGAGUUAUUUGACGGUAAUAAAGAAAUGAUAUUGGUAUACACGGAUUGGAAUUGUGUCUGGGCGUGUCAAACUAGGACUUGCUUAUUCCAGACUGCUAAUUUGUGGCUAGGUUCGAAUGGUGUCCUCUAUGUUGCAUAAUCGUGUUAAAUUUUCCUGUUGUUAAUCUAGAUUAUGGAAGGUGCCAUUGCUUGGUGUGGUGGCAACUUCUUGGGGUUUCAAGUCUGUGAAUGCUGGAUGGUUUUGUAUUUUGGUCUAACACCAAUGUCAUCACCAUCCUCCCCCACAACCUGGAGAUGGUACGCCAUUAAAAUUUGAUAAUGAAACUGACUUUGCAGAAAAGGAAAAUUUUGUUGAGCUAGGAGUUGAGUAUUCUUAACUGUUGCUUUGGUUUGAAGUACAAGAUUUUCCAGGUAGACAGUGGAGGUAGUAAGCAAAUGCUCUUUAUAUGAGCUGAUUAUUUCUUUUGUGAUAGGUGCCUUUGUUUUCUUUCUAAAUAUACUUAACUUUCUUAUGGUUUUAUAAUUCUGGAUGAUUCUGAGUUUGUUUCUAUGGAGUUUUGACCGGUAAUGGAUUAUGAUGGCACAGAAAUGUUAAUGGAAACAAUGCACUGGGUUGAGAGGUGGGUGGCUUAGAGGUUAUUGAUGGAGGCACGCAUUUCAUGUUGCUCGAUUUCAUGUUCCUCUUCCUACAGCAAGUUAUCUAGCUUUAUGGGUUUUGUUGCUUUAUAAGAAAGUGUGUUAUAAAAGAGGACAGAGAUCAAGGAUUGGAUCAAGUAGAUGAUUGAGAUUUCUGUAGCUUCUUGGAUUUGUUUCUACUUUUAACUUAUUAAAUAUCAUUUGCAAGUUGUAUGUGUCAAUCUAGGAUAUGGUUUGAUAUUUACUGUUAUAUUAUGCACAAUAAGCACCUCCAUCAACUUUCUAUUUUGCCUUAUAUAGACUUUCAUUGAUAAGUUUUUACUGUGCUCUUAGUUCUUCUCUUUCUGAACGCUCUUAGUUCUUCUCUUUCUGAACUAAUCCAUGCUCACUCCACUCCUGCUGUUGACCCAAACACAAGGAUACUAUUCAAUUAUCUAUCAUUUCUGUUGCAGAUAGAGUGGCUUUUUAAUGCUUAGUUUUGCAGGUAAUUUCUUCUGCAAAUAUUUUCUUCCAAUCCAGUUUUGUUGAUUCAAUAAAUACAUUCUGAAUCUCUGAUUCAAGAAAAACUGCACACCUGUGUGUAGAAUUAGUCAUAUAUUUAUAUGGAUUAUUUCAUGUUACUUCAUUAAUUAUCCUCUUCAGUUUGGUUUACAAGUCUGUUCUUUUUUCUACUUACUGAAGACUAAGGUUUUAUACUGCAGCCAUAUUUCAUGAUGACAGAUUGAUGCAAUUAUUACCUUCUUUGGAGUGUUGUUUCACUAACUUCUCUCUCUCUCUUGCUUUGUCCCCCUCUUUUUGAGUUAUGGAAACUCUAUAUUUGCCUUGCCUAUUCUUGGUCAAUCAUGCUUUAACUAAUAGGUGUUAGUAUGUUACAUGCCAUUUGAGGACGUGGCAUCGUAUCUCGUGUAAGUUUCUCAUCCACUUUGUUCAUCAUUGCCAUUGUUGUGAAAAUAAUGACUUAUAAUUUCUAAUUAUAGUAUAAGAGAGCCUCUGCAUGUUUAAAACUGAAUGCAUAAUAAGGCUCAUAUAGUGCAAACUUAAGCAAGAAUGAGUUAAUAACGGAAAAUUUUGAAGUUUCUAGUGAUUGAAAAUCCUAUCAAUUACUGAAAUGAUUUGUACAAACUGAUGUCUUUGACCCUUACACAUAGUCAAUUGUAUCCUUCUGUGGUUUCUACUUAAAUGGCUGGAUAAGCAUUUCAGGUUAUAUGUUAUAUCUUUUGUCAUUCAACUUUCAUGGUUGCUUGAUUUGUAUUCUUGGACAUGAUAGAUGCAGAUAGGUUAUAUUUGGAUUAUGUAUGAAUCAGGCCAAAUAUCAAUCUUUCUCUUGGGUGUGUGUGUGUGGGUGUCUGUUCUUAGUUGCAUGAUAGCAGGAGGCUCCUGGUGUAUUAUCUCCAGCCUAGAUGAUGGCAAUCCAUAAAUACAUUCUUAACCUGUUUAUUAACUGAUAAAUGUUAUUCUCUCUCAUGUAUUAAUGGGUGUGUUGAACCUUCCUUUUCAGCAAUAAAGCAAAAGUAAGUUAGCAGGCUUUGCCUGCUGGAUAUUCAAUGCCUUCAUCACCUAUCUUUAUAAAGAUUCUUAUUCUGUUUCAGAAGCUUUGAAGUCAAUUGAUCGUCUGAUUUUUGUAACCUACUUUUCUUAACCCCUUCCAAGUUUCUGAGAUAAUUCCUUGUAAAGAUUUUGGUGUUUUAUCUUGAUAAAGCUCCUUGAUUUGUGGAAGUUAGACAUAUCUACUCUUUUAUGUUCUCUGUUCUUUUUCAGGGAUCUCCAAGGAUAAAAAAUAUUAGCUCUCCUUUAACAAUUACUGCAGGAGCCACAUCCGAGCUGUUGAUGUUAGCUCUGUGUGUGUUCGGCAAUUUUAUCUUUGAAGACUGAUUGCUCACUUAUUGUAACUGUAGCGAUGAUUUUGAGGUGGUUUUUAUGUGUUGUCUCUGUAAUAUUCUUAUUUCUUUCAAUGCUCUUCUAAAGAGCUAAAAUGGAAAAUGGGUUGGGUUAUCUUUGUUUUCUAGUUUGAAAAGUCAUCUAGGUGAUUAGGGUUUGGGGUAAGUGAAAUGAGUAAUGGAUUAUGCAAAACCUUUUCUUCUUCCUAAUAUUUUAGGGUCUGUUUGGAAAGUGUUCUUGGAAAUAGUUUUUUGUUCUUUAAAUAUAAAACAGUUUUCCAACUUCAAAAAUACGUUUGACAAACUGUAGAUUGUUUUUUGAGAAUUUGUUAUGAAAAUAAAGUAGAACAAAUCUGAAGUGUUCUUAGGUUUUUUUUUUUUUUUUUUGUAGAUUGUUCUAAAGAGACAAUUGGAAAUACAAAGAAUAGGUUGGGAAUUUUUGCAUUAUAUAUAAGUACAAAAUGCCUUCAUGGAAAAUGGCUCGAGAAAAUUAUUUUUCAUAUUUGAGUUUCUAAACAAUUUAUUCCUCAAAACAAUUAAGGAUUGCUUUGAAGAAUUGUUCUCAAAAAUUGAUUUUUGAAUGUUGUUUUAGAAAUGUUGCCCUCUUUUCCUAUUUUCUGUUUCGCUCUUUCCAAUAUUCUGUUCCCAUGGUCUCCACUCCUCACAGCUCCUGCAUAUCCCACUGCAUGAUGCUGCCAGAUUUUGAGGAAAGUGACGGUUCAUAAAUUUUAUGUUGGUUGACUUGGCCAAAGCUGUGGAGUUCUGGUACAAAAUUCUACUUGUCGUCUUUUGAUGUAACAAAGGAAAUGACCUUCAGAUUACGUAGAUGUGGCUAUGCUUCCUUUAGUUUGAAUAGUGGGGUAAAAUGUCUCUGCCUUUAUAAUCUAGUCCUAUACCAUGCGAAUAGUGGUGUCAUUUAUUGCAGUUGAUAGGGGAAUUCUGAAUGGAACUGGAUAGGCAUGUUCUCAUGAGUGCUUUGUUUUGCCCAUUGGAUUUUGAAGUCGUGUUUGUUUUAAUGCCUAGGUGCUUCAAGUAAAUCUACAAUGGAUGGCACAUGAUUAUUGAUCCAGUUAGUUGCACGGAAGGAGAGAUUUUUUCCCUUUACUUCUAACUUUGAGAAGCCCUAGGUUUUACUCUUACUCUUAGAAAUUCUACAAAAUUUUCAUUUGUGAUAGGCGUCCUUUUUCUAGUUGGAAAGUAGGAGGGAAAAAUAUUUGGUCUAUUUUGGCUUCCCUCCAACAAUGGAUUUAAGAGUGUUGUGGGAAGGACUAAGAGAAAGAGGCCUGGAUGUUGGGUGAACUAAAAAAGCUCUUAGCCAAGAUGAAGAAAGGAAGCAUUUUGCACCCAAGAAUAGUUUUGUAAGUGUUAGUGGGUCUGAAAAUGACAGGGAAAUAUGACUAUUUGCUAGGCAGAUUAGAUUGUUCGAUAUAAUAAAAAACAAGGAAAGCUGCAGAUUAUGGGAGAAGGACUUUAUAAAUCAGUGGUUAUUUAUCCCCACUUUGGGGUAGGUAGCCACAAUCCUAAUGGGGUUACACACUGAGUGUUGCUGGUGAAUAAUACUUCAAAUGUGCCAACAGUAUUCCACUAUUUUAUUUUGUAGCAUCCAUGAGCAAUGGAUAGGGAUGACCGUACCCUGCAAGUGGCUACUUUUUUAAUUUCUUUUGGGUGGACAAGUUGAUCCUUAUUACAUCCAACAAGGUCUUGGCAACAGGUAAAGUGAUGUUUUGUCCAUUAAUUAAAUAGUGAACUUUUGUUGCUUGUCUAGUAGAGUGAAUUUUAGCACCCUAUUUUGUCAGUUUGUAUGGGGCGUGUUCUAUGCUUUGGGAUAUCUAAAGCAGUAUUUUACAAAUGGUUGCAUCACCUAGCAGAGCUACAAGAAGGUGUACAUGAUGUUCUUAGCUCCUCCUAGGUUUGCCUCUUAACCGACUGAGAAUCACAUCAUCACAGCUAAAUGUAAAUUCUUUAGCAUGUGUCUCCCAUCCUAUCAGGAAUGUAUUAAAAUAGAUUUAGGAUUUGCCAAGAUUGAAAGAUAAGCUUUUAGGACCUGAAUUGUAUAUUGCUGAAGAAGAAGAAGAAAUUUUGUUCCUGAAACUAGAUGGGACACAGUAAGAUGAGACAGUGUAAAGUUUUUACUAUCCAGAGUAAGAAACUUGGAAGAGCUAGCAUGGAUUUUACUGGCUAUCUUAAGGACUAGGAACAGCCAACCUUUUUUAAUUUACUAGAGAAUAGCCAGAAAGACUAAAACUUGGAAGAGCUUCUAGUAGAAUCUUUAGAUUUUGAGGCAUGAAAAUUUCAGAUUCUGGUACACAUCUCUGUGCGUUUAUUAGACCCAACCCUCACUCUUUGGGUGAA